UUUUUUUUUUUCGUUUUACUUUUCUGGGUUUUUGCUUCCAGUUUUUUCACUCUGUUGGCCGGGUUUUCAGCUGUUUUGUUCCGGGUUUUUUAUGUUUUGGUUUCUUUUCUCCUUUCAUUUAUUAUUUUAUGUUUCCUUUUUUUAUUUUCUUCUUCUGUUCUUCUUCUCUUUAUUGCUUAUAUUAUAUAAAAAGUUCACCGCGUAUUAGAAAAAAUUUCAUCGUAUUAAGAAAAUGUUCAUUGUAUACCAUGAAACAGUUCACCUUGAAUUAUAAAAAUGUUCAUCAUGUAUUACAAAAAUGUUCAUCAUAGAUUAUUGAGAGAAUUCCUUAUUUGACCAUUUCUUAAAUUUUUCUUCCCUUUUUGGCCCUAAAAAAUAUCUUUUUCCCUUUUUGACACACAAUUUUUAUUUUGUUCCCUACAUGACACUUCUGUCAAUUUUGGCACAUAACAGUGUUUAGUCUAACAUAAUAAGACCAUUCUACCCCUGGUAUAUUAUUUGACCAAAAUUAUUUACAAGUCAAAAGCAGCCAUGAUGCGAUAUGUUUUGUCUUUUGAUGACUAAUGACUAAUGAAACCAAAUCUACUAUUUCUGUAUCACGUAACAGAUUUCAGCUCACCAGAUUCCCGCAACAAAAAAAGAUUGACAUCUCAUGCGCAUUUGUUUUACCACUUGAUGGAUAGUACUCCCUCCGUCCGGAAAUACUUGUUAGUGUAAUUGAUGUAUCUAGAUGUAUUUUAGUUUUAGAUACAUCCAUUUUUAUCCAUUUAUGCGACAAGUAUUUCCGGACGGAGGGAGUAAUUCCGUUGCAUUCGGUUUACCACUUGAGAAGCCGGCCGAAAUGAGACAGUUUAAGAGUGACCGUGUAGUUUAAACAAAAAAGAGAAGCCGUAACAUGCACGGAUCAGUAUACCACCCUGCAGUUGUCGAGUUGGUGCGUAUCUGUCCGGCGCCGACGAACUAGUAGAUAUUGUUGGCUUUCUGCGCAACAAGCGCGGGCGUGGUGUUGCCGGAGGUGAGUGCCUGGUCGGCGACGACGCCCUUGUUCUACUCGCUAAAUCACUCGGUCACAAAGACGAUCAGACGAGAGUUUUGCAUCGCGUACGAAUGCGACUUUUCUGUAAUCUUCUUCUUAUUUUUUUGGUACAGAAAGAAAGUGAUGGCCGGUAGUUUUCCUACCGAGGCGCCACGAUCUUGAAGACUCGUGCCAUGCUAAACCACCAUGCAAAUCACGCGGGCCGUGCGACGUGGUGACGUCACACUAUGGGCCCUUGCAGCUUUUUUUUGGAAUUAUAGGCCCAUGCAGCUGUACGUGCAAGUUUUGCUAAAAAAAGCUGUACGUGCAUGUUGCCUCAAAAAAAAAAAACUGUACGUGCAAAGGUUGUACGCUCUCAGCCUCGCGCCGCCGCCGCUAUUUGCGCUCGGGUGGACUCGGGCGAGAAGGUGCGGUGGGGAUUUUCUUUUUUGCCAGUGAGCUAAAGCAGGGGUAAAAGUGACUUUUCAUGUUGCACUUCACUAGGUUAGUCGCCAAAAUUGACAGAAGUGUCAUGGAGGGAACAAAAAAAAAUGUGUGUGUCAAAAAGGGAGGAAAAUGCUUUUAGGGCCAAAAAGGGAAGCAAAAUUUAAGAAAGGGUCAAAUAAGGAGUUCUCUCUAGAUUAUUAAAUUUUUCAACGUAUAUUAGAAAAUGUUCAUUGUGUAUUUAAAUAUUGUUUAUCAUAUAUUAAAAAAAAUUGAACGUAUACUAUAAAAUAUUCAUUUUGAGUAUUUUUUGUUCAGUAUAUUUUGCAAAAAAUCUCACUGUAUUUUAAAUUUUGUUCAACGUAUAUCAUAAAAAUGUUGAAUGCUUUUUUUAGGAUUAGCCGUUGUACUUCCUACUUUACGAAUGGCGCUGCGUUUAUAACGUUCGAGCUCGCUUUCUAGGCUGGGUUGCCUAGCUAGAAUCCAGCAUGAGGUUGGGUGUUCGAUCCAACGCAUUCACUUCUCUUUUUUUUCGUUUAGCGCGUGAUAAUUGGGCCGGACCGUGUGCGUGUCGCUUUAGCGAAGCCUGGAUGAUCAUCGGACGCACACGGGCGAUGUAUAGGAGCUCUCUCUCUUCCCUCACAAAAAGUCUGCGUUAAUUUUCGAGGAGUUUUACCGUAGGGACGGGUAGACGUGGGCCAUUCAUCCACCAGAUCUAAAGGCCGAGGAGUAGUAUUUUUUUGUUGAAGGGCAAAAUAGGUAGAGAAAAAAAUUAUAUCCAGUAGACCGACGGGUAGGACUGGGGGAUCAAAUUCCACUCGUCCGCCGCCAGUGGGAGAAUCAGCGACGGCCACAGACACGGGCAUGACGGCAAAUCGCGGCAUUUAUACUCGCGCGGGUCGUGCUCAGGUUGCAGACUUGCAGGUGCAAACAGUGAGAAGUAACCGGCCGCACGAAACCGCCGUGUUGUUGCUCCGCGGCGUCUAAGGGCGUUUCUGCUCCGGUGCUCCCCCUGGCUGAACGCGAGGUGGAAAAACACAUCGACGGCCAGGAUGAAUCAAAAACGGUUCAUAACGAGGGGCACAAUCGUCUUUGUUGCCCCCGCGUAUAGCCGUCGAGAAGCCCUGGAAGACCCGUACGAGCCCGGUUAGAUCGUAUGCCCGGCCGUAUACGUAUUUCUAUACGGCGGCCUUUCGUGCACGCGUGCAGCCGCCCGCGCGUGGGCAGCACGUGUCACCGGUAGUUGCCAAAACUGUCCCAUCAUAUAAAUGUGGACGGCAACCACCUCCGGCCGCAUCGCCCACCAUUCCCCCCCGCCGCAUCGUCUCCCUCUCUCCACUCCCCACUCCCCACUCCCUCUCCUCUCCAACCUACUCGUCUCCCUCACCGCAUCCUCUCCAUCGCCAUGGCGGACGCAGGAGGCGAGCGCCCCGAUUGGGGCGCAGAUCUGGUGGAGCAGGGGCGACAGGUCGCUGCGGGCACCUUUGUGAGGGGGCGUGCCGGCGUCCAGCGCGGUGCUCCCUCCACUGCAGAUCUGGAGAAGGCGGGGGCGGGCUGCAGCGCCGCGGUCCAACCAGAUGCGCCCGCUCUAGCGAUCUCCGGCGAGGCGCAGAAGGUGGAGGCGGGCUCUGGCGAGGCGCAGAAGGUGGAGGCGGGCUCUGGCAAGGCGCACGAGGUGGAGAAGGUGGAGGCCGGCUCUGGCGAGGAGCAGGCGGAGCAGAAGGUAUCUGCUUCUCACUUUUAGUUGGUAGUUUUUAGAUUGUAGGGUUUGUGGCCAGAACUUUGUUUGGUUAGAUUUGUUGGAGGUAGGGUUUUCUCUGCAUUAGGGUUUUUCUGUAUUUGAUUUGUGCAAGAAUGGUGGACCACAUAUGAUUAUUAUAUUAGGUUAGAAGUAGCCGGAUUGAGGGAUGGGGUUUUUUCAGAUGCUUAUUAGAUUAGUAGUGGAAUUUUUGCAAUUCUUUAGGUGUUUGGAGGAUUAAAUGAUGGAUUAGUCAAAUAUAUACUUCUCUAUUGGUUUGGGUUGGUGCCUGCUUUAGUUCUUUGGCUUGAUGAUUAAUUAAAUGGAUGAUUAGUUCUAGGGAUUAUGCCUGUCAUAGUUGCAAUUCUUAGAUGCUUGAUUGAUGCAUGUUGUCAUAGUUGCAGUUCUUUGAUGCUUGAUUGAUGCCUGUCAGGCAGAGGCUAUGUGAUUGGAUUUGUUUGUGUUGGAUUGGGGCUUCUGAAGGAGAGGGGAAGGGGCAGUCUAUGCUUAUUUAGUUUGGGUUAGUACUGGAAUUUUGCCGUUGCUUCAGAGAUAUUUACAGCAUUGAACAUCCUCUGCAAUGUCGUUGCUUCAGAGAUAAAAGAAUCUUGGGGUUUUUUCAAAUGCUUAUUAGAUUAGUAGUGGAAUUUUUGCUUGUUAGAUUUUAAUUAGUAUGAGGUUGAAUACCUUAUUUAAGGGGGAAUUUAAGGUCAGAUAGACGUCAUAUGAUUAUUAGAUCUGUAGUUCAAUGCUGCAGACAUAUAUGAUUAUUUGAUUUGAUCUGUGGUUCAAUGAUACUGGAUGGAAACAUAUUUGAUUUGGAAUGCAUUAAUUUUGAUGUGCCAAUGAAUUGAUUUAGAUGAUACAAGAUUCAUCUAUAGUAUAAUUUGUUGUUGUUUAGGUAAGUAAUGAAAUUUUAGAUGUUUGUUGGAGAUGUAUGCAUUUAUAGUUGAAGUUGUACCUAAUUAACUACUGCAUUAUGUUAAUAUGUGUAGGAGCUUUGCUGCAUUAUCCAAAAACAGUAAUUUGUGCAUAUUAAAAUUUGUAGUUGGCUUCUGUAAUUAGUAGCAAUGGAUGUAAUUUUAUAUUUAGGGGGCUAAGAGAUAACUCACUUUACAAUUGCAGAAGGGUGGCCUAAAAAACAGUAACAUGGCCUUGAAAUAUUGUCCUUGCCCAAAAUUUUAUAAAUCAAAUGUUGUAGGCAGGCCUAUUGUCGAGCCUCAUAAAAUUAACCUGGCCAGAGAUUUUCCUCUUUUGCAAAUACUUAUGAUGAAUUACAAAAAUAUGCAGCUAGGAUGUCAGCAUUGUAUAACUAUGAAGUAAACAUUCCAAGGCAGGAUCCUAGCAACAAAAUAUACUAUAUGUUUCCAUUAAGUAGUGUGUGUGGGGGGGGGGAUUCCUUCAAAAGAAAAGUGUUGGGUUAAUCCAGGGAAUGUCAAGAAUCCAGCUUGGAUUUUCAUUAGCAUUUAUGAAGGAAAGCAUUUGUCUGUUGAUUGAUUGCUUAGAUUCUGUAUUUAUAAGGAAAGCAUUUGGUCACUUGCAACAUACCAAUGUGGUUCACAUUCACAAUUUUGUUUGUAAUGACAUGCUGUGAACUGCAAUUCAAUUCAUUGUAAUUGAUGUGCUUGUUUGAGAAUAUAGCAGGAGGAGGAGGAUCUUGUGGGCAACAAGAGGAAGUGGGACAAGACUGGGUUCUACCCAUAUGACUCUGACGAAGAUGAGCCGUACGAGGUAAGGCCUAGUUGAAAUGUUAUUUGUGCAUUGAGUUAGUAUUAAUGCUUUUGAAUGCAUAAUGUAUUAAUGUCAGUCAUUAAUGUGUGCAGUAUCAAUCUGGAGAUGAUGUGGUCGAGGGGAACGUCGAGUCCUUUGAAGAGAAGGUGGUGCAGAAGAUCAGGGCCCAAGGAUCUGCUAUGUACUACAACUGAAGGACGGACAUGUACCGGUGCCCCUACUGCAGCAGGCCCAAGCCCAGGUCUGGGUUGCUGGAGCAUCUGAUGGAACAUUGUCGGGCUACAUCCAUCAGCAGUGAUGAGUACAAGAUCAGGGCUAAGCAUUCUGCCCUCCACAAAGUCCUGAGAAACCCUAACAUGUAGUUGCCCUAGACCCUGGUUGUCAUAUGAUGGAGGAAGCCUCGGUUCUUUUGGUGAACUUUAUGUGGCAUUCUGAUGGUGGAAAAUUUUAGUGGUAAUGUAGUAUGAACUUUAUCUAAGUGUAGUACUGUGAUGUGUGGUCUAAACAUAUCUAAUAUGCUAGUGGUCUGAACUUGGAGGUGUCUGCAUCAGCAAGUGUGCUAUGUGGAUGCUGCUAUCUAUGGUAGUAAUAUAUAUUGGUAUCUAUAUUUGUGUCCCUUAAAUUUGCCAUUAUGGUUCCUGAGAUGUAUGGUUCCUUAGAUGUAUGAUUUGCUUGAAUUUAGCUGCUGCAAUGAUCAGACAUGCCGCAUCAGUGUUGCUUCACUGAUCAGGCAUGCUGCAAACACUUCUCAUGCUGUGGCCAUGUGGAACAUGUUGUGGCAAUGGUGCAAUAAAUUCCCAUGUUGUGGCCAUGUGCAACAUGCUCUGCCCAUAAGCAAAUCGGACCAAAUGUAAAACUUUAAUUAAUGUUGUUUAGUGAAGUAAGUGGAAAUUGUUCAUCCACACAUAUGACAUCUUUCCUUCAUAUGAGUAAGCAAAAAUAGCAAAUACUCCACCAUAUGAUCAAAUAUUCCAAAAACUAAGCACAUAUUCCAUCAUUUCAUCAAAUAAUAAUAAAAAAGUAGUUAAAGAUGGUGUGUGUGUGUGCAAAAAACAACAUUUGAAUAAAGAUGUAAUGAUUAUUUGUAAUAUUAAGGAGUUUUUUCAUGAAAUGCAAGUUGAUUAUUUGUAAUAUGAAAGAUCUCCUUUUGUACAAUUUAUAGUGGCUCCGUGAACCCACAUGUUUCGAACCGGCAUUGGGCAGUGCAUAAAAAAUUCAGAAAAAAUUCAAAAAUUGUGACCCAAAUUUUCUUGCACAUGGCGACCCACAUGUGCCAAACAUGCCUAUGAAAGAAAAUUUGGAAAAAGAAUAUUUUACAAUGCCCCCUUAGGUAUAGACCGAUGUUUUGACCAGUCAGUCUAGAGGGCAUUAUAAAUUAAUAAAAAUUUCAAAAAAAAAUAUAAAACCUUGGAAACCUAGCUUUGUUUGUGCAAGAGAUCAUGUGUGCCAAAAUUGAGGUGAUUUGGAGGUGGUCGAAAAAAUGACUGCAUUCCGGAGGGGCCAUUUGGUCUAACUUAAGCAAGUUUUUGAACAAAUGUGAUUUUUCCCACCACCUCCAAAUCACACAUACUUUCUUGCACAUGGUGACCCACAUGUGCCAAACAUGCCUAUGAAAGAAAAUUUGGAAAAAGAAUAUUUUACAAUGCCCCCUUGAGGUAUAGACCGAUGUUUUGACCAGUCAGUCUAGAGGUCAUUAUAAAUUAAAAAAAUUAAAAAAUAUAUAAAACCUUGGAAACCUAGCUUUGUUUGUCCAAGAGAUCAUGUGUGCAAAAGUUUAGGUGAUUUGGAGGUGGUCAAAAAACCCUAGAACACUGCCCCGGCAGGACGCAACGUGCGUUUUGUGUCCGAAUUCGUGCACACCUUGCCUGGGGGGCCACAUUAGCCAUGCUCACAUGCUCCCAAAAGUUGGGGUCAUAUCAUGCAUGCCCCCACAUGCACCAUGUACAAGCCGGACCAUUCGGGUCUGCCGGAGGGCAAGUUUGAAAGAGGUUUUCCUUGCCGGCCCCACCAAAUGAUCCCAAACUUUUUGCACACCCUACCAUGACCAUGGCAUGCAUGUGGGAGGAGAAUUCAUACACCACAACCUCAUUUUUGUUGAAAUCCCAUUAAUAUCCAUGUGUAUUACAUGUAAGUGAGCAUGUGUAAAAUUUAUUAGAUGACUUGAAAUCCCAUUAAUAUCCAUAUGUAUUACAUGUAAGUGAGCAUGUGUAAAAUUUAUUAGAUGACUUGAUGGUCAAAACAUUAACUUGUCAUAUAUGCAAAAGAAAGUGUGUAUUGAAUGCAAGUGAGCAUGUGUAUAAUUUAGUGUGUGAUUUGAAGAUCAAAACACAUGGCAAUAUGCCAAAAAAAGUGCCCACCUACCAGAGCAGGAGAAUUCAUACACCACGGCCUGCAUACGACUAGAAACUCUGCCGUUCACGGGCCAGUAUGCAGGCCCGUGGUGCAGAAUAUCUCUACUGCUAGUAGGCCCCACGGGGCAGAGGGGACGAGAGUUAGGCAAUGUACUGCCUGCAUAUGAUAGGAGCUUGGGAGGGGAGUCGCAGCCGGGUAUAUAAACCGGUGCGGCGCUCUCUCGCUUGGCGAGGUGGGACUAAACUCCCACCACCCAACGGCUGUGCGCUGCGAUGUGCCCUACGCGGCUCUGCCUUGGGCCCAAUUCGGGCGGGCUGGCCCAGGGCAGCCUUACCCGCGCGCUGAUCUGUUUUAUAUUUUCUUUGUUUUUCACUUCUUAACUCCAAAAUUUCAUUUCUUAUUUAUAUUUCUAAUAUUUAAAAUCAAAUCUCUUUUUUUUCUAUAUUAUUUCUAACAGUGUUUACUAAAAUUUAAAAAAUAUGCCAAAUUCUGUUGUGUUUUAUUUCAUUUGUUCGUUCUAUUUUUUAUAUUGAUAAUAUUUACAAAAUAUAUACUAAAAUAUUUCCAAAAUGUAAGAUAAUAUGUCAUCUCCUAUUUCACUUCUUCAUUCUGAUAGAUCUUAUCUUUUUUACAUUUGAAUUAUUUUUUAAAUGUAACAUAAUAUGUUGUCCUUCCUAAUUAUAAAUUUUAUUUUCUGUUUGAUACUUGAAAUCUUAUUAAAUCAAAUCUAGUUGGGACAAUCGCAUGCAUGCCUCCACAUGCACCAUGUACUAGAAGCAGGUUUAUCUUCUCGGUCACACCAAUUGAGACAAAACUGUAUGCACACCCUACAAUGACUAUGGCAAGCAUGCAUGGCGAGUACCGUUCAUUUCCGACACUCGAUGCAUUUUCUAGGGUUUUUCCGGCGACAAAACCCUACAACACUGCCCCCACGUGACGCAACGUGCGUUUUGUGUCCGAAUUUAUGCACACCUUGCCUGGGGGACCACAUUGGCCGUGCCCACAUGGUCCCAAAAGUUGGGGUCAUCUCAUGCAUGCCUCCACAUGCACCAUGUACAAGCAGGACCAUUUGGGUCUGCCGGAGGGCAGGUCUGAAAUUGGUUUUCCUUGACGGUCCCACCAAAUGAUCCCAAACUUUAUGCAUACCCUAGGAUGACCAUCGCAUGCAUGCAUGAUAAGUAUCGUUNNNNNNNNNNNNNNNNNNNNNNNNNNNNNNNNNNNNNNNNNNNNNNNNNNNNNNNNNNNNNNNNNNNNNNNNNNNNNNNNNNNNNNNNNNNNNNNNNNNNNNNNNNNNNNNNNNNNNNNNNNNNNNNNNNNNNNNNNNNNNNNNNNNNNNNNNNNNNNNNNNNNNNNNNNNNNNNNNNNNNNNNNNNNNNNNNNNNNNNNNNNNNNNNNNNNNNNNNNNNNNNNNNNNNNNNNNNNNNNNNNNNNNNNNNNNNNNNNNNNNNNNNNNNNNNNNNNNNNNNNNNNNNNNNNNNNNNNNNNNNNNNNNNNNNNNNNNNNNNNNNNNNNNNNNNNNNNNNNNAGGUUUUCCGUCCCGGUCCCACCAAAUGAUCCCAAACUUUAUGCACACCCUAGGAUAACCAUGGCAUGCAUGCAUGACAAGUAUCGUUCAUUUCCGACACUCGAUGCAUUUUCUAGGGUUUUUUCGGCGACAAAACCCUACAACACGGCUCCCACGUGACGCAACGUGCGUUUUGUGUCCGAUUUUGUGCACACCUUGCCUGGGGGACCACAUUGGCCAUGCCCACAUGGUCCCAAAAGUUGGGGUUAUCUCAUCCAUGCCUCCACAAGCACCAUGUACAAGCAUGAACAUUCGGGUCUGCUGGAGGGCAGGUCUGAAAGUGGUUUUUCUUACCGGUCCCACCAAUUAGGAAGUCAUAAAUAGGACAACAUUUAAUCAUACAUAUUUUAAAUGAAAUUGAAAACAAUGAUAAGAAGUGAAAUGGAAUUAUGAAACAUGAACAAAAAAAUAGGAAUAAGAAGGAGAAAACAUAAAAUAACAGGAAAACCAAAUUACAAGGGAAAGAGGAACAAUACAUUUGAAUGUAUAAUAUUGUAGAAAUGAUAGAGAUACUAUAAAUAUUGUUGAACAUAUACAAGUAUACAAUAACUAAUAGGUGUCACAAAGAUUUUUUUGAGGGAAGAACCAAUGAUAUUUAUUUUGAGGAAAGAAACAAUGUAGGUAGGUGGCCCAGCCCAGACCGCAAAUAACUGUCGGAUGCAUAUUGUGGGGGCCCACAUCGCUGCGCUUUCCAUGCACGUCGAUCACACGCACGUCAAUCACAGGAGUAGUUGCCGUUCUGUUACACAAUUCUAGGAUCGUGCUAAUCCAUAUGUUCCUAAUCCCUACGAUUGAGGAGCACGUUCAGCCUCGCUUCAACGGAGGAAAAUAUAGAUCGCGAGAUUGGCCACAGGGAAGUUACGACGACCUAGGAGUCGACCUCGUAUAUAUUCUCCUCCUCCUCGCACAUGUCGUCGACUAGAUCGCCUCCUGCCGGCGAGUCGUCGACAGCUCCGUCCGCCGCAUCCCACACGCCACAAAAACCCCGAGAAGAUCAAGGUCGUCCGCACGUGCAGGCCGACCUCGACGAACUACGUCGACAACGCAUCGCCGACUUCUUUCAUCUUCGUCGACCGAUCAAGUAAAUUGUCCUCCUUACCUCGCGCCUUCAUAGCAAGCUAGUUCCUCCGUCUCGUUGCUUUGAUGGACUUAGGUUUACCACAUAUUUUCAACUAGUAUCAACUCGACUAGAUGCGUUCUGACCAGAUGGCCUAGAUGAAAUAAAUCUUUGGUUCUUUCAUAGCAUGGUAGAAUAAGAUGUUGUUUCUCGAGAAGCGUGAUGCAAUAGAUUUUUUGUCACAUGAUCCAAUUAUAUUUUUGUCACACGAUCCAAUUAUAUUGUUGUGCACAUAGAACAUUAAAGAGUUAUAAGCAUUAGAUGUUGAUGAACCUCAAAUAGGUACCAUUGCUAUAGACUCUAGUUAUUUACAGCUGAUCAAUUUAUCAAUGUGUUAAUAAGACAACCAGACGAAUUAGUUACAGUUUACCAUAUUAAAUUUAUUGAUUAUAUAAUUUAUCUGAUACUCAAAGAACUUGAUCAGAUGCAAGUAAAUUCAAUUACCAAUUGUAGUUAUUUUUUUAUUGCCUCAUGUCAGCACACACUUGGCUGCAUGUUGCAGUAUACAUGGUGCUAGUUUUAUAUUUGCAUUAGUGUUAUUUUUGCAUUAGUGUUAUUUUUGCAUUAGUGUUAGCUACUGCCAGAAAGUUUUAUAUUUUUGCAUGUCUAUUGUUAUUUUUGCUUUAGUGUUCGCUAAUGUCACGAAGUUAUAUAUUUUCUUUCAACAGGAUGGACGAGCUGAAUGGAGAAAUAGUAUGCGACGUUGAAAAAUGGUGCAAGCUUGUUGCAGCUCUAUCGAGCGGUCAACGCGCUAGAGUGGCUGAUACAACAUUGCGCAGCAUGCUGCAGAUACCAUCUAUUAAGAUGCAUACCCUACUGAUUAGGUAUAUGAUUGAGAAUUUUCAGGCCAGCACCGCCAGAUUCAUUAUACAAGAGCAGGUUGGGGAGGUGACUCUCGGUGCGGUCGACGUCGAGUGCAUCUUUAACCUCGAGAACCAAGGACUGUCCGCUUCGGACAUUCUGACUGAAGAAGGUGAGGACAUCAAGGAGCGGGUGCCGCCACAAUUUCUCAGUAAGACAUCAGAAAACAUAGUUCUCAUUGAGGACAUAAUUAAAAGUAAAUCCACGGACGACGAUUUCCUUCGGAAAGUAGUCCUUGUCCUGUUAGGAACAAUUAUUGCUCCCAUGUCGCGCAAGAUUGUGCCAAAGCAGUACUACGCUAUGGUCGAUGAUGUGAAACGUAUUUCAAAGAUUAACUGGAAUGCCUUCACCAUGCGUCUUCUCCUUGAUUGCCUUCGCAUAGUGAAGAAAGGCAAACACCUCCGCUAAUGGCCGAAAGGCAAUUUGGCUCUCUUGCAGGUACACAUAUGAGACCUGUUGCAUAAUGUCAAUUAUCAUAUCAUUGCAAUUUUAUGUGAUGUAUUGUACUAACUCUAAAUCCUUAUAUUUUUUUGUAGUACUUGUACUGGGAGAAGGUGCAACCGGUCGAAGGCGAAUGCGCCUAUAAUCCCAACUUGUCCAUACAACCUCUUAUGAGGAACUGGACCGAAGGUGCAGCCACUAGGAGAGAUCGGUUCGACUAUGACAAUGGGCGCGGCCGUGGUAACGUGAGGGUAAGUCAUUGUGUUCCGUCUUUCUUAAAUGUUUUGUAACUUAAUAAUAUUUAUUUUUUAUUCAUCACAUGUACUUCAAUAUCGCAUGCAGAUCGAAAAUAAUAUCACCCAGGAGUAUAGGGCUCAGGAGCCCAACAUCCCAAAUAAUGCGCCUACCAUGAAGCCAAAAACCAAGCCUGCAAAUGGAAACGCAAAGAAGUCGACGACAUCCCCAAUGUCGGAAGAUUUGAUGGAGUUUCUAAUGAAGCGGUGCAUGGACUUCAUACACACCCAGAUGAGGGAAAUCCCUGAUCAAGUUGCUGAGGUGUCACACCCAAACUUUCUAGUUUACAGUAUGUUUGAUGUUUUAAACCAUGCUAGCAUUACUAAAUUUAUAUUUCUAUUGCAGAGGUUGUUGGAGAAGUUGAACAAAUCAGGUGUCAUGUACAAGCCGGCUGCUGCCGUGCCAUCCGCGGACAAUGAUGUGGAUGAAGAACUGGAUUCGUUCGAGAACGGUCCAUAUGAAAAGAAGGAAUUCAUGUACAAGGAUGACAUAGACUCACGCGGAGAGCCUGUCAUUGACAUGACGCAGCCUGAUGAAGUGGUUCCCAACCAUAAAACCAUACCUGAGGUACUAUGUAUAUAUAUUUCUAUCUAUAAUUUUCUCCUUUAAUUUAUUUACGUGCUGAAAUGUUCACACGAUUUUGUUUGCGAAACAGAAAACCCCACCGAAGAUGAAUGGACACAAAGAAGCUUCACCUAUUAGGCGUAAUGAUGAAUGUGGCGCUACACCCGAAAACCCUUGGGUCGUUGGUACUUCUACUCAAGCACCUUCAUCGGACAUAGACAUUUGUCCAUCUUCUGUCAGCAAGUUCAUGGCUAAGGCGAAUGGAAAAAAGGCUGCAACAAUCGAUAAGGAUGAGGAAGUUAUGUCCGGUAAGAGCAAGAGGACCGUUCCUAAGAAAUUUGAAUCCCCCUACGCACUUGACAAGCCCAGCAGGCGUCCCAACCAUGGUCAGAAACCCUCCGGUACUUCUACUGCUACUAGAGGUAUCGUAACUAACUUUCUUAUUUUUUUAUAUGCUACAAAUGCAUAUGAUCACCAUUGUUGACGUUCAUAUUAUUUCAUGCAGCUCUGUUUUCUAAAAAUCAUGAGCCGGAGGUUGUGGCAGAUGAGUUGACGCCGGAAAUAAUUGAUGCAGCUGUUUCAUUUGUCGAGUUAGCUGCUAGCACCGAGAAGAAUAAGGGGAAGAAAGUUUACUACAGUGAAGGGCGUGGCAUAUCUCUAACUUCCGAAAGGAUUCGACCGGUACUAACUCACAGAUGGCUGUCGGACGAUGUAAGUACUACUUGCAUGUCCUGUUAUUAAAAUUCUCAACUUUCAACAUGUAAUGCCCUGAUAUUCUAUGAAGGUUAUUGAUGCUUAUAUGGGACAUUUGGAGCUGUGCGUUGGUCAUGAUCGUUACCUCUGUCCAGCGUGGAGGUCCAAAUUCCUUGUAGAUCGUGCUAUCGCAUGAGACGAUCCAUUGCCGUCGAGCUACAACAUGGAUAGUGCUCUGUCCAAAGCUGGAGCAGUUAAUAGAGUCACGAAAGAGUAUACUGUGCGUGAUAAGGUACGUCAUGUUUGUAAUUCUUCACUACAGGACAUUUCAUCAAGUAUUUUGUUUGAUCCACAAUGGUUUUUUGCACUGUAGACAUAUAUCGCGUUGAAUAUCGACAAUGCCCACUGGAUGACUGUGGUCAUGCACAUGAUCAAGCAAGAAUUCCAAGUUCUCGAGUCGCUCUAUCCUCUGGACCUGACAGAAAAGACUGUGAAAGCACUGGUAAUAUAACAAAAAUUUGUACCAUUGGUCUUCCAUGUUGUUUAUUAUUCAUCUUUAACACUAUCCUCUUUAUAGCGAAUGGCUAUAGCACACGAUAUGCACCUAGCAAAUCUUAUUACACCAGGGAAAUAUCCGGACGUAAGUAAGUGGCCUAUCAACGAGUAUGACAUGCCCCAGCAAGAGGAUGGGUGAGUUAAUAGGACAUCAUGCACAUUCAAACAACAACACACAUGUUCGAAUUGCCCACCGCUAAUGUUUGCAUAUGUACCAGGAACUCUUGUGGCCUUUUUGUCAUAGAAUGUCUAGAACAUUGGGACAGGGACCGAAUGACCCGCGAUUUUUCACAUGCUGUUAUUUACGUUUGUAGAGUAGCUAGUAUGGUCGUGUAGCAACUUCGGUUGAUGUAACCUUUAUGUCAUUUUGUGCAGGCCACCGUUGACGCAAGGAGAAGACGUUUCGCCGCCGAGUUGAUUAUGUCACCUUCGAACACGAUGGAGUGUGUGAAGAACAAAAUUCGCGAAAUCGCAAGGAAAAGGCGUGCCUGAAGAAUUCAUGCGGCAUGCAAGAUUCAAGUUUUAGUGGUUUGGAUUUAGUCCGGUCGAAGGUUUCGACGGCAUGAUUAUCUUAGGGUUUCUAUCAUUUUUAUGUAAUAAACAGGGCAUCUCGAAUAUUCUGACACAUACAUGUGUAUGUGUCUGUCAGACAAUUCGCUCGUACCAGACAAUUCGGUCAUACAAUUCGCUCGGAGAAGACAAUUUGGUCGUACCAAUAAAGUUUUGGCUUCACUUAUCAGUUGUUCUUGCUUAAUAUUUUUCUCGUUCUCCAAUUUUUUAUAAUUGUAUUUUUCACAUUAAUAGUAUUCGCAUUCUAUUUUUCUCUUCAACUGCUCCAAAUUUUCACAUUCUUUACUUUUUUAAAACUCUACCAAGCUUAGCCUUCUGCCUUAGCUAUCUGCAUGUCAUCAUCUUGCAUAAUCUCCUGGUAAUUCCCCCACAUCACAUGAUUAUGAAAAGUAGUCAUGUUAGCUAAGUAAAUAUAUCGAGCCAAAACGUAAUAUUACACAGAUGAAAAUUAGUCAUGUCAGCUCGUUGGCUCUAUCGCGUGUUAUCAGGCAUCAUGUUUUUCUAUUUUGUUUUACAAACCCGUCGUUUUUUUAUUGUAUGUAUAAUUAAUUCUUUUGUACUCACCAUGAUGCCGGGCACGUCCCAUCUAACCACGCGAGGGGCCCCACAGGCGGCCUAUCGUGCCGGCAGUGCUACACCAGCCCAUUUUGCCAGGUUCACAUCGAUCUUUCCCGUUUUCUCGUUUCCCUUUCCAAAUCCCCAGCCCUCUCUCUCCAUUUGCGCCUCCAAAUCUCGACGGCGAAAGCAUGACAGCGAGCUGGGCGUCGGGCGGCGGCGGCUGCGGCGAGAAGAGCGGUGGCGACCGCAAGUUAGGUCGAACCCUGGGUCCAGGAAGCAUGUGGGGCGGAUUCAGUGGCACAGGAGGCAGCGGCGGUGGAUCGAGUGGAACAGGGGACGGGGGUUUCGUGGGCGGCGGCGGGCCGGGAGAACCCAUGGCUAGGGUUUCUUCAGUGCUACACUUUGGUGGCAAAAAGGUAAGUUCUUUACCGUUGUUCUUUACAUCCCAGCAUUAUCGCCCACAAUUCAUGACCUGUGGCCAUGACAAGCUCCAUCUAUGUGGUCAUCAGGAAACUCCUGGUGGCCGUGUCUACAUAGAUGCAGACAAUUUUGGCAGCGCAUUCGUGGGACGUGUGUUUGAGGUUAGUCUACAGAGCAUGAUCUUCAAACUAGUACUGCUAUUGCGGUCAAGCUGCAAAAAAGUUCAGUGUUUAACGCUUGCAGUGACAAGUUCAGUUAUAAAAUGACUUGAAUUGCUCAUGAUUUAUUUAGGAUGAUAUCACUUCUGAGUAUGUUGAAUGGGUUGAUGGGGAGUGGGAUAGCAAAGCAAAGUCAGUCAUUAAGUAUCUUGCCAUGAAGAACAAGAAAUUGGAGACUAAGACUACAGAAUAUGAAGCUGAAAUUAAAAGGAAUGAGAAAGAAAAGAGGGCAAUGGUUAAGAUGCACAAGGAAAUAUUGCUCUAUAGGGAUAGGAUUUUAGGAUUUGGAGGGCUUCUAUAUCUUGGCAUGCUAGCCAUUAUGAUUGCUGUCAUAGUUAGCAAGUAGAUUGUUCAAGUUAUUGACAUCAUUGUAAUUGACAUGAUGAAAUGCUGGUGAAUUAUUUGCUAUUCAGUUUAUGGGCAAAGUGUAACAGAGAUUGCAGCAUAAAUAACAUGGGGCCAUCAUGAUUGGUAGACAAUGCACUUUUGGCAUGUUCUAUAUUCGGCAGACAAUGCACUUUUGGCAUGUUCUAUAUUUGGUAAGUGAUGCACAUGUGCACAUCACCUUGCAACACUACUGAUUUAUGCAGCAGCCCAAUUCAUUGUGUUGUUGCAACAUAGGAGCAACAUCUAGCAGCACUGACACCUUUGAUGCAACACUGAAGCAAAGCAACAGUACACAUUCAAUAAUCUGAAAUUUAACUGAACUUGACACUUAGGGUGAGCAGUAGAUAUUCAGUUCUUCAGCCACAAAGAAGCCGACCAAACCGUACCGAUUGCAUAACUUAUAUGCUUACAUAUAAAAGCAUACAUAACCAACAUCAAACCCAAAAUAAUGUUAACUUAUAUGCUGAAACAUACAACAGCAUAACUAACUUAAGAUAACCAGCAGCUUCCUCCUCCUUCAGCAACUGUGCCCAUCUUCACUUCUUCAGAAAUUUGAGGCGGCGUGAGCGGCGCACCACACACGGAGAAGCCUUCUUCUUGACCGCCGUCCUAUUCGACAGCUGCGCUACCUGAUCCUGAGCCACCACCUCCUCUUCCACCUUCACUAUGUCAGGGAGGAGGGGAAGGAGCUCGACGUCGAUGGGCAUUGUCUUGCCACCCUCGACGGCUACCGGCGCUACCAUCUGCACGGCGUCCUCCUCGCCCUCCUCAUGGUCAUCAGGGAUGACCAGUACCUCCUCCACGUCGUCCUCCAUGACGUCGGAGCGCAAUGGCAGGACUGGCUUCGGCACGUGGCGGACCUGGUAGUCCGGGCUGACGGGCGCAGGGAGAGCGAGCUCGACGUCGACGCGCUCCGCCCUCGACGUGACGCGUGCUGGAUCUGGCCGCAGUGUCAUGGUGGUGGAGCGGUACAUCCACCACCUUGCGCGUUGAACAGGGGAGUCGCUCAGCGUGGCCUCUCGCAUUGCCCACACGAGGCGGAGAGCCGGCGGCACACCGCGGCCAUAGGGGAAGGCGCACUUCUUCUUGGCGUCGGUGAGGACUUUGACGAGGCCACGCGCGUGGUUGACCAACAUCUCCGUGCUGGGGAACCAGCCGCACACCUCCGUCAGCUGCGCGCCACCCCUCGUCAUCGCCGGCGAGGUCCAUCAUCGCUCUCUACCAGCCGAAGCUUCUCUCCAUGGAGGCGGCUGCAGCAGUCGCCGACGAGGGUUUUCUCGAUCUACUGUAGGUGGGGAUAAGAGGGGAGUUCGAACCGGCGCCCGUGGGAGUUGGGUGAGUGUGUGGUGGGGAGGAGAGUGGUACAGUUACUUAUUUAAUGGCAUUUAGGACGUGGGUAGGGGAAAUGUACAAUAUUCUUUCUACCUUCUGCCCCGGUCAUAACACAGUAAAGAAUUUUUUUGAUUUUUGUUUAGAGGGAAACAUCUUACUUUAUUUAAACAAAGUCUGGGAUCUCGUCUGCUAAUACACUAAGGAUACAAUCAGGGGCCGAAAGCCUCCAAACCAAAUAAACACAAUCGCCUAGAGCUACCUUAGCCAAAGUAUGAGCCGGCCGAUUAACACAGUAAAUAAUUGAAGCAAGUGUUCUACUCUUCUUCCUUCUCCACUUUUCUGCACAUGAUAAAAGACAAGCUAAGUUAAUGAAUGAUACAAAAUUUAAUAAUCCACAAUGCAUACAAACACUUACUUCUGAUUUAGUUUGCAUUUCUUGCUACGUCUAGCGUGUCCUACCAAUUUGCAAGCGCCGCACCGGGUUUUCAAGUCAUCAAAAGAGAGUGGUCUACCAUUUUUCGAGACAAGGCGCCUCUCAUCUACCUUUGUUGCACCUUUGCUUGACACUUUCAUAGGAUCUUUAACCGCAAUCAUGUUGCCUUCACCAUCGUCCACAUAUUCAACUGCACACUUACUGAUGUCAUUUGUUUGCUUCAACAAAUUUUCCUGUAGCAGAUCAUACUCAUGACUCUUAGCUAUCACAGCCUUCAAACUCUCCUGUAAUUGAUCCCACAAAGCAGGGUGUUUGCAUGCCGCAUGCAUAGCUUCAUACGCUAACACACUGACCUGGCUAUAUUUCAUUCUUUCCCCGGCCCCAGUCCAACCAAAUCCCAACAGAUCGCUUGUGCGCCUCGCGGGCAGUCCCAACCUUGCUUCUUUCGUGAACCGAACAAGAACUAAACACUUUGGUAUUUCAGAUAUGUUCAAGUGCUUCCGUACAUGGAAUAUGUGCUUGCAAGGUAGACCCUUUUGAAUCAUUCUUCUGCAGCUGCACCUUAUAGUUUCUGCGGAAUUUACUGGUGUAUACUCCACCCAAAAACGACACUUCCGGUUAUUCUUCCAGGCCACGAUGUACUGCUAUGAUCCGUCUCCCAGCUUAAUUUCUACAAUCUCCAUGCCGUCAAUUUUUCUAAGAUCAUCUUGCAACAUAUAGAAGUUUGCUGGAGUGAAGACGUGACAAGCAGCUAUCUCAAGUUCCCUCCAGCUAGUAACUGGCACCGGCAAACUCUGUGAGGCCGUGCAGUCAUCUCGCGCCUCGUUUUCACGGAUACGCACAACGGCGUUCUCAUAGUGCAAAAUCAUAUCCACCAGAGUCAUUUCACCGUCUAGGCGGAGGUGAAGGCAUGAGUUCAGGCUUUCACUCCGCUGGUUGCUUUUCAUGCCAAGCCAAAAUCCCUCUGUUAGAUAAGCCGCGGCCCAUAGUCUUCUCUUUUUAUACAUCCGUCUCAACCAUGUUACAGUUUUUCCCGACUGCCAUCUUUUGGAAAAUGCGUGCCAUCUCUCCUCAAAUGUGGCCGUGGACGUGCUGUAGUACAGAAGAGUUCGGAACUCCUUCAAGGACUUGUGACUGAGGUGAAUCUUCAUAUUUUUCUCUAUGUGCCACAUACAUAUACGGUACCACACGUCUGGCAAGACUUCGCGAAUUGCCUUGAUCAUCGCAGCGUCGGCGUCUGUGAUAACACUCUUAGGCAUCUUUUGACACAUGGACCUCAAAAAAGUCUGCAGAAGCCACACGUAUGUCUCCUCGGUCUCGUCUGAAACUAUGGCACAACCAAAAACAAUGGUCUUCCGAUGAUUGUUAAGACCAACAAAAGGUAUGAAUGGCAUUACCAUAGCGGUUCAUCUUGUACGUGCUGUCAAAUACAAGCACGUCGCCGAAGUCCUCAUAGUCAUGACGAGACUGGGAGUCGCACCAGAACAUCCUAUUCAAAUGUCCUUCCUUAUCUAGCUUGUACUCGAAAAAGAAGCUAGGAUCCCUCUGUUUCCUACUGGCCAUGAUGCCUAUGGCUGUGGCAGCAUCACCUUUUGAAAGCAGCUUCCUCUUCUCCCUUGCGCAAAGGUUGUAUAUUUCAUGCCUGGUAAAACCAACACCGCCGUACCAUACAUGUUUGCUGAUGAAGCAAUCCAUCAUGUCGUGAAUUCUAAUCUCUGCAGCUCCCAUGGACAUUAUCUCAUGCUUUUGGUACUCUUUGAUUUUUCUGUGGGACCAAAGAAAAGGUACCUCGUCCGGUCCUGCCAACAUAUGGCUAUGCUUGUCCUCAAAACUUUCAACAUACCAAACCCCACGCUUUUGGUCAAGCUUGACGGUCAGGUGCGCUUCGCAAAAGCAGCAUGUCUCGGCUCUGAGCCUCUGGCUGUGUCCUUCCUCGGUUAGCAAUUUGCUGUCAUGUUUCCCUUGUCUCGAACAAACAAACCGCCUAUAACGCAUAUGACGUGACUCCGUUUUGCUAUACCUGGCCUUAUUCUUUCUAAUGCUGAAACCAUUAUCUCUAGCAUAGCUGUUGUAGAAAUCAUACGCAGCAUCGUGAGAUGUAAAGGUCAUUUCCAUUAUCUGCAUGAACAUAUCCCUCUUAUCAUCUGCACUGGCAGUAUCUUGGACAUUCUUUGCCCCAUCAUCUUGUGUCACCUACACAAUCAAACCACAGCCAUGAAAACAGUUUUUAUGGUUUAACAUUACUUCCAUAGAAUAUUGAUUACACACAUACCUCACUCAUGAUGACCGACGACUGGGACUCCCCAGAAUCAGGUGCAUCUAAUGAUUCGUCGUUAAGGCCUGUCUCCGCGCCGGAUUCACCGAAAUAGUCGUACGCAUUAUGACAUUCGGAAAUGAACUGGAAAAAUACAACACAAAUACAUAAUUACUUAUCAUAUAAUAUUCCAGAAGAAAUUCAAUUUGCAUGCCAAGAAAAUUUUUCACUUACGUACCUGACUAAUGUAAUCUUCAUUCGAGAGCUCCGAGUUGUUUUCCUGAUCAUCAUCAAGCUCAUCGAUCUAUAAAUUUUCAACACAAAGAUUUAAUGUUGUCGGAUGCCACCAAAAAAUUACAACAUGACAAUGCCACUCACAUUAAGAUCGUCCCAUUCAUUCCCAUUCUCUGACCAAUCUUCACGAUCUGAAUUUUCAUUAUCUGACCAAUCUUCUACCCAGUCUUUCAUCAGUUCUCCAAACUCCAUGUCUACCAUGAUAUCAGUUAACUCCUCGUCCGCCAUUUCCUACAACCAAUAAUAUGUAUCAUCACAUGUGCAAACAUUAUCAAUGAUGAAAUAUACAACACAUAGCACACGAUCACGGAUGUUAUGUAAACAACCGCAACCGAGGCCGUUCAGAUCUGCCAAACUUAGUAAGGAAGAUGGCCACGGCACCCGUCGUGAUCACUUUCAAUCACGAGGAACUGCACGAUCUCGAAACCUAGCUAGAUCUGUGAUUACCUCUGCUGCCGGAUACCUAGGUUAGCCGCCACAUCAAAUAACGAUACUGGUGGUGCGCACAGCCGACGGCAACCGACGCUACGUGAACCCAGAUCACGAGGAGCAGCACUACCGGAACAAGAUCCACGAUCGCAUGCGCCGCCGGGUAGCUAGGUUACCCGCCCCGCUAGGUUAACCACUACCACUGGCGGCGGCAGUUCGUUUGAUGUUGCCGCGAGCGACACUAGAGGGGGGACGCGGGAUGCGGUACCUGUGCGUGCUUGUUGGAGAUUCACGACUUUGUCGCACCCGCUGUCCGACGAGAUCGCCGACGACGAGAUAGCCGCCGCUAGAGAUCUACUACGUGACUUAUGGAGCUGCGUCAAUGCUCGCGAGAUUGAUGGAGCUGCGUGAAUGAUUGGAUUCGGCAGGUCUUACGUGGACGUGGGGUCGUGUGAUGUUUUUUUUCGGACCAGGGUACUGUACGUAUACGGUCUGGGUUAUACAGGGCUUGGAUCUGGGCUACGGCGGGCCAGGAAAAAAAAACUCGCGGGGACAAAAAUACCCCUCCGAAAUUAGGUUAGGGGUGAGCACCGGAGCAGGGCUCGUCGAAGGGAUGCUGAGGCUUUGGCCGGGCACAACGGCCACCUGCACAACGUGGGCUACCUCAGCUCGCAACUGAUGGAGCGACGACGUUUACCGGCCGCCAGAUGCAGGUGCACGGCCACGAUGGCGGCCAUGGACGGCGUAGCGGUGCACGGACAUCGUGGUGGCGGUGGGAAGCUGCGGCAAGUACCAACGAUAGUGGCUUGGGUCGGUGCGGCAGUGAGGAUUUGACGAUACAGAUGCAGAGGUUGGGGCAGCACGAAUGACUUGGUCAGUGUUUUCUUCCCUGAUUAAAAAUGGACGCGUCUAACGAGUGGCCGUUGGCUCGUUAGACAUCCGGAGUGGCCGGUCGUAUAUGGAAAUAUUUUGUCUCCCCUAAUCCAUAUAUGAGCAAAAGUAUCAUGUAAACAGGGAAAAAGGAAGAAAGUGCCCAUAUGAACAUGUGUGAACGCAUUUAAUUCGGGUUUUAGAUUUUUCAAAAAGCUAUAACUUUUGAACGGCGCAUCAGAAUUAAGAUUCAUUUUCACCGUUGGAAUCCUCACGGUGUGCUCUUCAAAACCAGAUCCCGCAUGAGUAUGUUUCGACGAAUUUUUGUGUGUGCAAUUUACUCCCCGUUUUGUGCAACUGCCUAGCCGUCGAUGUGCAACUACCUCAGAGUCGACGUGUAACUUUUUUCUACUCGUGGACAAGCAGUUUUCAGUGAUGUGAACGAGAGUGAACGCGUUUACUUCGGGUUCUAUUUUCCUAAAAAUGUCUUAACUUUUGAAACAAAUGUCAAAAUUAAGAUUCUCUUUUCUGUUGGAAUCCGCAUGCUUAUCGAAACUAGAUCCCACAUGGGUAUGUUUCGACAACCUUUUUCUGUGCAAUUUACUGCCUAUUUGGUGCAAUCUAGCUUUCAGUGUGCAGCUACCAAAAAGUCAAUGUGCAACCUUUCCUCAUACCUGUAGACAUGCAGUUUUCAUUGUUGAAGCCUUUACCCCAAAUUAUCCGCUACCAGUGAGAUGUGCAACUUCGUCAGCUGCACUUGCCAACUGCCUAGUAGUCGGUGUGCAAAUUUUCUCUCUGCCCACGGAUGUGCAGUUUUCAUUUUGUUCGAUGCCUGGGCCAAGUGCCUACCAGUGGAUGUGCAACUUCGUCUGUUGUCCCGGCCAACUACGCCACCGAGAGCGUGCAACUCCGUGAUUGUGCACGUGCGACAAUCGCGUGUGAGAACUCCCGCAACCAUGAUUGUGCGACUAUGUCGCCCGUGUGCAACUCCCGCAGCCGUGUGUGAACUACUAUCCCGCGAGCGUGUGCAAUCCAGGUAUGUGCGUAAGAAACUAUGCCGAUCAGGGUGUCCAACUCCACAGUCGCACAUGAGCAACUACUCUGUCACGCAUGUGCAACUCCCGCAGACCGUGCAUGAGCAACUAGGCCGAGGAGAGUGUGCAACUCCACAACUGUGCUUGUGCGACUAUGCCGAAGAGAGUGUGCAACUCGCGUACCCGUGCAUGAGCUACUAUGCCGAUGAAAGUGGGCAAAUCCGAAAUCGUGCUUGAGAAACUAUCCGAUGAGAGUGUGCAACUCAGUGGCCCUGUGUGGGCUACUGCCCCAAGGAGAGUGUGCAGCUUCAUGGUCCCGUGUGUGUGACUAUGUCGUCGCACGUGUGCAACUCCGGUAGUCAUGUGUGAGCUAUUAUGCCGACGAGAGUGUGCACCUCCGCGGCAUAUGUGUGCAACUAUUUUGUCGAGAGCGUGCAACUCUGUGGCCGUGCAUGUGCGACUGUGCGGGUGAGAGUGUGCAACUUCGCGGUCGUGCGUGUGUGACUAUGCGAAAAAGAGUGCAACUCUACUCCCUUGUGUGUGCGACUAUGCCGACGAGAGUGUGCAACUCCACAGUCGUGUGUCAGCUACUACGCCGACGAGAGUGUGCAACUCCGUGGUCGUGCACGUACGACUAUGUCGACGCGCAUAUGCAAGUCCGGCAGUUGUGCGUAACCUACUUGCCGACGAGAGUGUGCACUUCCGCGACCGCUCGUGUGCGACUAUGCCGACGAGAGUAUGCAACUAUAUGGUCGUGCGGGUGCGACUAUGCAGACGAGUGCACAACUCUGUUGUCACGCAUGUGUGACUAUGCCAACGGGAGUGUGCAACUUCGAGCUCGUGCGUGAGCUACUACGCCAACGAGAAUGUGCAACUCUUGGUCCUGUGUCUGCGACUAUACCACCGCACAUGUGCAACUUCGCAGUCGUGUGUGAAGUACUAUCCCGACGAGAGUGUGCAACUCUUUGAUCGUGCGUUUGUGACUAUGCAAACAAUAGCUAGUGUGCAACUCUGUGGCUGCGCGUGUGCGAUUGUUCCUACGAGGGUGUGCAAUACCGCAGUCAUCUGUGAGUUACUACGCCGACCAGAGUGUGCAACUCUAUGGUUCUAUGUGCGACUAUGUUGUCGCGGUUGUGCAGCUUCCGCAGUCGUGCGUGAGCUACUAUGCCAACUAGAGUGUGCACCUCCGCGUCUGUUCGAGUGUGCAACUCUGUGCCCGUACGUGUACGACUAUGUGGACGAGAGUGUGCAACUCCAUGGGCGCGUGGGCGACUACGCCUACAAAAGUGUGCAACACUGCGGCUGUGCUGAGCUACUACACCGAUCAGAGUGUGCAACUCUGAGACCAUGUAUGUGCGACUCUGUCAUCACGCUUGUGCAACUACCACAAUCGUAUGUGAGCUACAAUGCCAACGUGAGGACGAGCGACCAGCAUGGUUAAAAAACGUGUUGUUUUCUGAAAUUAAAUGAAACAAGAUCUUAUACAAUCGACCUCUCUAUAAAAGACCUUAUGUGUGUUGCAGUCUCGUCCAAACUACGAUAUUAAUGAAAUGUGCAACUUCGCGUGAUGUCCUAGCCAACUGUCAAGCUGCCGAUGUGCAACUUUGGAUGCCGUCCUGGCCGGCUACUUAAAUACAUAUUGAACAAAACCCCCAAAGUGGUCUUUUAUAAGAUGGCGAAUACUUUAUCAAUCCCGAAAUAAGUGUCUCUCAAACGGAUGUGUUUAACAUGGAUGUAUUUAGUACAGAGUGAGUAGCCAAAAUGUGUUGUCCUCUUUUCUUAAAGAAUAAAACAAGUACAAUUGGGUGAAAAAAGUAAGCAAUUACAAAAAGGAUUGUUGAUCAUGUGCAAUUCUCUAGUGAGCAAAUGAUUGUAUAUAUCCGAUGGGAAAUGGACACCCUUUGCUUAAAAAUGCAUACACAAAAACAUUAAAACUUCGGUGCUGGUUGCUCAUAAUUAUCCAAAAAUGUGCAAAAGGAUUCUCUUGCGAGCUACUAUCUCUUAGUCUCCAUUCUUCAACCAAUAAGUCUCCAUGUAACGACCACCAGCACUAAUCGAAAAAUAAAAUCACCAAAGCUGCACGCAGAUCAUACGCAUUGAUUAUCUUGGCCGUCCCAGUUCAGCAGCUACCCUAUAGAAAAGAUAGAAGUCGCCUGUCCUCGGUGAGCUGUAGCCCCGCCGCCACAUCAAUCCAGUUGCUAUGCGCCUCGUACAAAAUCUACAGCAACCACACACGUAUGAAUCAUGAGUUUCACGGUUGGCCCCGUAGAUCCUCGAGUUGAUCUCAGGCUCGAUGGGGAUGCGGGACGCACCGGCACCGCGGCCCCCGGCUCGAGCGGCAGCGUCGAGCAGAUGGACGAACAAGAGGGAGGAGGAUGUGGGGGUCUUGGAUCCAGAGCGGCGGGGAUGUGCAGAUCCGGCAUCAAUGCAGAGGAGGCCCGACGCGGCGGUGGUCGACUGGGGCGAGCUUGACCCAAGGCGGGGAUCAUCCUUGGCGGCGACCUGUGUGGAGGCGAGAGAAGGAAGAGAGAGGAGGGAAGGCAAGAGUGGACCGGCGUGACGCGAAUCCUGGUCGCCGAUGAGACGGCUGGUCAGCGGAGGAGCACCGGACAGCGACUUGUGAAGCUCUUGGGCGGCGCGCUUCGCCAGAUGGAGGGGAUUAGUUGUUUUCUUUUUCCUGAAGAGAGGCAGCUACUGAAGAGAGACAACGACGACUGUUUUUGUCGGCUAGCGCGGCCGCUCGUUUCUGUUAGAUCGUGCGCGCGCACUUUUUAGAUUUUAGGAUUAAAAAUAUGUUCGUGGUUACACUAAGCUAAACUCCCCUCGACUAUAAAAAAUAAUAAAGCAAAAGAAAAUGCCAAUAAUACCCACGAAACCAACGGUGGAUUUCCUACCAGAAAAAUGUUACACCUACGGGAUUCCCCCUACGGACGCCUGUUACGGGAUUGGGUGUCCUUGUCUCAUUGAUUCUCCUUCCGUGAAUUCAGCUGUGGGACCCAACUCGUGGUACAUCCCAGAUCUCCACGACUCCACCUCAUCUCCUUAAGUACUUUCCGUAAAAUGUCCGUAGCUGUAGCAAAGUUUUUUCCUACCAAUACUACUCCCUCCUACCACUAGUAAUUUUUGUACCGUAAAAAACCUCUAAUUUUCAACUAGUACAAGAUAGCUGCCAUCUCAAACAUUCAAAUUUUAAUACAGCUGGCACCUUCCAGUUCAUCCUAAAUAAUUAUAAGCAGAUAAAAGGUGUUUCAAGUUUUGAGUUCAGACUUCAAAGUGGAGACAGAUCAAUGCCGGCCCGACAAUUCACGUUUGUUGUGUUGCGAGACAGUCCACGUUUGUUGUGUUGCGAGCGACGUGCCUUACUCUGGAGGGAUCUGCGCUUCCACUGCUAUCAUCUUUGUUGACACGCGUAUUUCUCGAGGACCAAUCGACAUGUUGAUCUAGAUAUGCAACAUGAAGAGAAUCGAGCCUAUGCAAAAUUGUUUUGUACCGCCACGAGUCUUUAUGAUCUGCAAGACUGAAGUUGGAUUCCUACGCAUCAUGGAUUCCCGCUGCCUCCCAAGCCACACCCAUGGACAUGCAAGGAGUUCAUAUAUAUAAUGUCUCAGUUGGUAGUCUCCGUUCCAGGUUUAUUUUCGUCCCACCUCACCUGGUUUUUUUGUACCUACUCCCACCUCAGGCUGACCCGCCACGAACCGAAAAAACCACGUACUGAGUCCUCCACCAGCCCCCGCGCUCUUCAGGUCGUAACAGCCGAUCGCGCCCGAGACAAGCGUCGAAGAAAAAAUCUACGACGAUUAACCAGCGAUAAAAAAACCUACGAAAAUUAACCAGCGAAAAAAAACCGGCACGUACGAGCGACGUCACAUGCCCUCCAGCGAGAACGACUCGCACGAGAUCCCUUGGUCGCCGCCCUCGCACUCGCAUCCUUCGCCGCCGCCCUCGCACAUCAAGCCGCCGUCGAUCCCUGCGCUACUACGGGAGCCGCCGCCGAUCCCAUUGAGGAGCCGCCGCCGAUGACGGGAGACGCCGCCUAUCCCGUUGAGGAGCCGCCGCCGAUGACGGGAGACGCCGCACGCUGACCUACCCCUCCCCAAUCCCUAGCAUCGCACCUCUUCCCGUCUGGCGCCUCCUACCUCGGCUGGGCGGUGGCCUCGAGUGCCUCUUCUUCCCCAAUGCGGCCUCAACCAACGACGCUGCACCCCCGUGAUGACUCCGCCCCACGAUUCCCAUCGGUCGGCGCCUCGCCAGCAGUGACCUCCCCCUCCAUGUAUCAUGUGAUCCGGUCGUGCGCCACCGCCUCUCUAGGCGCUUAGAUCCAGGCUUCCAGAAGGGGGUAGGGGUGGAGGCGGCAGCGGAGGGGACAGGGAUGUGGACCGGAGAAACUACAUGGUGGAGGCACAACAAAGCGUUCAAGCACGGCACCCCAUCGCAUGCAGCUGCAGGUAACUACUUCCCUGAGUCUCCUUCGUAGGUGUGGUCACUAUAUUUCCUACUUGUGCAGAUCCUAACUGGUUGUAACUCCGUUCAUUCUCUUCCUAACAGUAGUUCGUCAGCCACAUUGGACUAAUCUAAUGCAUUCGAAUUGCCUUGGUGUAUGAAAAUAACGAUAUAGGCUUGAUGUGUACAAGCGCAUAGCUCCUUAUCUAGCCUAAUCUGAAUGUAGCUUAUAUUCUUAAUCUUUUUAUGCACACUAUUUUAGCCAGCGGCAGGUGUUGGGCACUUUGAGGUAUGCAAACCUUCUCAGAGCAAGGGGAGCAAGAGUACCGGUACUGCAUUUCUUAUCUUCAUCACUCAAAAUUCCCAGAACUAAUCGUGAGCUCUUGCUUUGAUACAGAACUAAUCUUGAAGGUGAUAGCCCUGUUUCUUCCCUGUUUUAGAUCAACCGUUCUUCUUUCUUCCUUGGAGCUCCACUGUUUUGGAUGAACUGGACUAACCCUAGGUAAUUGAUUAAUUUCUCAUGAAAAUAGAAUUUAGAUGAGAGUGAAAUUGAACUGGAGGGUGCUUAAUUCGCCAUUUGUUUCUAGAUGGAGGCUGCAUUAUUUUCUUUAGGAGAGAACCCCUUUUCCGUACUAUACUCUGUACUUCAUAAGGACCUAAAUCCCUCUCAAUAGUCUUGCAAGGUGAACUCAAUUUGUUUUUUUUUGUGCUUAAUUGUGUAGAAGGGAUGAAGGUCAUCCACGAGGUGUCUCAAGGUGAACCCCGUGGUACCCGACCAAGUGGCUGGAGGGAAUGGUGUAUGCUCACAAGGUACGUGAUUUAGCUGUGCUUCUGACUAUAUGUGUGCUCAUGGCCUCAUGGGUUCUGAUAUAGCUGCGCUGGCUAUAUUUCAGUUUGUACAGACCAAUUUGUUUCACUCGGACAAGAAUCCCACGAACCUUAAUGUGGCCUUUAAGUUUCAGGUACAACAUUCUCUUCUGCUCUGUUGCGUCGCGUGCUCCACCCCUGUACCUUAUGAUUCAUGAGUUUUCGGUGACAAAAUGUGUUAUAUUUGUAGAGUCGAUGCUUUAGGAGAGGGAAAAGCAGCUGCCCACGCAAUGGUUUUCCAGUUAUACUCUUUAAAGAAUUUGUAGGAGGAUCCAUUGAUUUAAAAACACAUGGAAAGCAUUCAGUUUAGUAAAUAUUGUAUAUACCCUUCCCCUGAAAAGUUUGACGUUGUUACUUGAGAAAAAGGAAAAUGCCCAUAGAUCAAAUCCGUUGAUACAUUGAUUACUUUUUAGUUAUGCAAAGUUUAAACUUCAGUCAUGCUUUAUUGGUCGUUUCUCCCCAAUAAAUAUCUACCAACUGCAGGUCCUUGGGGUUGGAUGCGGCAACUCGCGGCUCGAAGACAAUCUUUUGUGGUGGGGCGUCGCCGCCGCCGGCGGCACCUGCAUAGACCGUAUCGCUGGGAACGAAGAGAUGCUCCCCUGAUUUGGAGCUGUAGAAAGGAAGUGGUUGCAGACACAAAGUGGGGACACACAACUCCCAGUCAUAAUAUUCUUUAUCUUGGCUCGUUGUUUGGGGAUGGACGCAUCAAUCUGAUGGCGCUCUCCUCCAUGCCAAACGGAUCUUUGGUUCGGAGGCGCGCGGCGCCGACGAUGACAACCUUUCUAUCGACGCAAGGGCAGCAGGAGCUCAUGACGCUGUUGAUGCCACCACCAUGCAUGGGGUUGAUGCAAGGUGGGACAAGUAUGUAUACCAGGCAAAGUGCUCAAUCUGUUUGGCAUUUAGCUUUUUGAUUCUAUUUUUAGUGAGCUUGAUUCAGAUAAUUUGUUUACCUGAUGCCUUCACUCCAGGUAAUCUGUUUGUCUGACAUUUUGCUUUUUGAUUCAGUGCGAUCACUAAUGGGGAGAACAUAAAACUUCAAUUGAGGGCACUGUGAUUCUCUAGCUACAUGUAUCAUGUAAGUAACGUCUUUCCAUGAAUCUUCUGUUCAUUAUAUAACCUCUCAUGCCCUUACAAAAGUAUCUCUGUUGACUCGAUUUCUUUCUGCUGAUUCUUAUAGGGUCACCAACCACACAUGUAAAAACCAUGUCUCCCUACUGUAAUUUGAUGAUUUAUUUACAUGUGGCACAGAAUAGUUCAGAGUUCACUCCGAGAAAGAAUUGCUUUGCAUGUACAUUUGCUAAAAGACGGAUGUGCUGAACUUUCGACGGUUCCGAUUGGUCGCUGACAUAACCUUUCCUCUUUUCAUUGAUAGGUCCAAAAGAGAUCCUUAUUUCGCCUUUGUUUAUAGGUAUUCAACGUGAGGAAUUUUAUACUUUUGGAGUGGAGCUAUCAAAUAUAUAUUAUGAGUUUCUAAAACAUCUAUUAUAAGGUAAAAUCAUUAUAUACAUAUUAUUUUAUUUAUGUUUCAUGUGAGCCGAAUCUACCGCAGCCAUAUGAAAGUUUUGGAAGGCACAGCUUAUUGCAUGAUCACGAAGAAAUUAUUGGAUAGUUCAUCAUUUUUAUGUUUGUAUGAACAAGGAUUUUUGGUUGUUUGGCCUCACAAAGGUUCUUUGUUGAGCAGGAGUUGAACAGAGCUUCCUCUGCCCCGGCAGAUUCUGAGAAAACUAACCAGCAGAGAACAUGAACAAAUAUAGUGAUGAGAAAGGGUGGAGCUGAGUACACCACACAUGGAUAUGAUGGUCUCCCCUAUGUUCUUUUUGGCAAUCCAGUUAAUCACUGACUCAACUUUGUAUGGGUGAGCUAACAAGCCCGUGUUAUGUCUUCCCUCUUUCUUUGUAAGUGGAUGAUUUCAGAUUGCUCGUUAUUAUUCAACAACUAUACUUGUGAUAGAAAAAUGUGCUAAACUAUAGUACUCCCUCCGUCCCAUGAUAAGUUUCGCUAUACUUGUGAAAGAUUAAUGUAUAUUCUUCUAAAGUUAUAAUACAUUCAUGGUCUAUGUAUAUCAUUUGUAUGUUGCAAACCUGAGUCGGGCAGGCAGCAACUGAUUUCUUCAUUUGCUAUCUUUAUAUUCUUCAAAGCAAUAAAAGUGUAUGCGCAUUUGGUGAGAUUAGGGGAAUGUACUGACAAGUGACAAGCAUAUUUCCUUGCGUGUCGUCCUCGAUGCUGCUUCCUUAGUUCACAUAGUACAUUUCUUAAUCACUUUUGUCGCAGAUGUUUGACACAUCCAACUACCAUGUUGAUUUUCUGAUCAUUCUUUGGUCUGGACUAUAUAUGAUAUAUGUAUUAUAUCAUCAGCACAAUGUGAUUCUUCUUCUUCUUGCAGGGCGCUUCCGAUGCACAAAUGGUGGCGGUGAAGCAGCAGGCCCGAGAGAGCGUGCAGGGGAGGAAGGAGUUCCUGGUGGAGGUGCUGAUACUGGCGGUGCUCAGCCACCCUAACUUCGUCAGCCUGAUCGGCUUCUGCACGCAGGGGACAAGCGGCUGCUGUUGUACGAGUACAUGCCCUUCAGCAUCCUGGAGAGUCAUCUCUUUGGUAAUACUUCUCAAAAUUAUUUAGACUUGCUAAUAGAGCAUUCGAUGUUUAGCUUCUGCCAAUCUGUACAUUCUGUUCUUAGAUUUAUUUUCCCUCAAUACCUUGUUUAGUACAAGGAAGGACUGAUAUUAUUCCCCAGCCAGGGUCGUUGAUUAUUGUUUAUUUUAUCAUAGUUCAGUGUUUUUCAUUUGAAAAUAGAUUCAAAUGUGUACAGAGUAAGGGUCGUUAAAUUUUUAUCUAUAGUCCUUCAUCACCAUCAUCGAGCCGCUGGAAGGUGGGAAGCAGAGAGGAUGUGUCAUAGGAGGAUUCCAUCAGAUUAGUUAGAAAUUAGAAUGCCGCUCAACCUAGCAUUAAGGUUGGUUGAGCCUGAUGCACUAGCACAUUGGAUUAGUUGGAAAUCAGAAUGUAUGAUUAAUUAUUAGAGAACUAUACAUGCAGAUUACUCAUGUGUGUCUCGGUACCAUGAUUGCAUAGGAAACACGUUAAUUAUGUAAGAGACGAUAGGAGUAAUGACAUCAUAGCUCGGGCGUCUUGGGAGGAAAGUGGCGUCGGUGGUGCUGAGCCAGAACAAGUUCACUGGCUCUCCUUCUACCUGCUGGAGCAUAUGGACGUGUCACGGAAGCCCUUCGUCGGGCCGUUCCUGUUGGCGCUACUGUCUGUCCAGUACCUGAGCAUAGCCGGCAACAGGUUCACCCAGGCGCUAUCCGACAAGGGGUCCUGCUGGGACAACCUCCGGCUUGUCGACCUGAUGGGGAGCAUCCCCCCCCCCCACUAUCACCAUCCUAUCCAACCAGCCGCCAAGCAUCUACUACUGCUCCCACUGGAUAUGUAACCCAUCUAACUCCCUUCGCCUCCUGUUCUUCCCUUGAUAUUAUCAAUUUGUGUGCAAAUGCUCUUUUUCAGUAACUUAGUUACGGACUCUGAUUUUAUUCUUGUUUCAUGCAGGCACUUAUAUAUGAAUAGCGUGCAUACAUCUGCACAACUGCAUAACAGUCACAAAUGAUUGUUUUGUGAAUCUGCAGAGAAUCUAAUUAUCCAUGUACGGCAAUAGCCAGAUUAAUUUGUUUACCCAAAAUUAUCAAGGUGAAUUCCUUGUUCUCGUUUUCUCAAGUCAAUGAUGCAUGCCAAAUAUCCUACCACUUUACAUUCGCUCUCUUUAAAUCAUUCAUCUAUUUGAUCAGGAAGCAUCUUGCUAUGAUCAAUAAAGACGGAAAAACAGUGCACACAAUAGACGAGUGGCCGAGUACAAUGAGCUUCUUUUAUAGUCAUGGAUUAUUCAUGUGUUAAACAAGUUCUGCUCAUCGAUUAGUUAUUAUCAAACCUGUGGAUUAUGUUUUUACUAUAAUUUAUGAUUUAAUUUGUACCUUGCAAACUCGGCAAGUAAAAAUAUCACUUAUUUAAGAGCCGAGAGAGUGUUGUUAAAAUGUGUCUGAUUACCUUUUAAAUGUUUUACAAGAUUCAGCGAUAUAUGAGUAUACUUCCAUGUCUACUUGAUUUCUAUACAGAAUAUGGAACCAGAUGUAGUGAAAUGUUUGCAUACCAUGUCUGGAUUGAACAAGCUAUUUACUGAUGGCUGAUUUUUAAGGAUGUCUUAUGAAGUUGUGAUUCUGCGAAGAAAAGCUCGUGAGUGGAAUUAUUCAGUAUGGUGCUUGUGAUGUUUCCUUCAUAGCUCUUUUACAAUCAGCCAUUCCUCUAUUAUUAUUCGUAAAUGGUCCUCUAAAUCCUAAAUACACAAUAGAUUUUUUGUUGCAUUCAUCCGUGUGUUACAAUCUAUUUCUUUCAUAUUUUUUCAGCGGUUCCAUUAUAUAUAUUCACUUUGGAAGGCAAAAAUUAUAUGUUGGCUGGUUGCCCGAGAAAUCAAAAAGGCUAAAUCUUGAGUUGUAUGGAGCAUGGUCAUUUGCUUGAAGUUUCCAAUGGACUGUAUAUACCAUUGAAUGAGAGGAAUUAUUCCAUGAGUGUGGACAAAUUGAGCUGAUCGAUUGAUUGAGAAAAUAUUGUGUGGAUGUUCUCAGAUCUCCUUGCUCCACUACUCCUUGGAUUAUUACCUUUGUCCAUAUAUUUUGGUUUAUCUGAUCUGAAGGUAACCUUCUUAAACUAUCCAUAAAAAUAGUUCAAAUUGUUAAUUAAUUGUUUGCUUAAUUGUGUUGUCUAUCUAUUCUUUUGCACAUAGAAGAUAUAACCUGCAAAUCUGCACAUGCUUUUGCCAAUGUAUCCAUCCUGAUAUUUCUUAUAAUGUGGAAGUUAUCAGAGCCCUUUUUUAAGCAUCCACUUUGAGUUCACCGGUGGCAGGUAGCUUGUACAAUACUGAAUUUUCAAGAUAACAAAAUCGGUUAUGUGUUGCAGCAAAAUCGAAUGUGGUAGAGAAAAUAUUCAGGCUUCGUAGCGAAACAAUGCCUCUGUUAGGAUAGUACACCCAGAUCCCCGAUGCAUUUGGUUUAUUAUGAUGUAUUGAUACUGAAGUUUGUACCAUAUCUUGAAUUAUGAUUUCAGCAGUGAUAAUAUACUCUAGAUAAAAGGAUGGACACAUAAGCUUGGGACAUGAUUGUGGCCGCUGUACUUCAAGAAGGUGCGGAGCUACGGUGAGCAGCAGGUUGCAUCAUCAUGGUGGUCGCCCACGACCACGAUGGUGUGCACACCUUGGCACCAGGAAUUGGCUUGGGACGCCGUGGAGGAAGAGAGAAGGGGGGCGGGGNNNNNNNNNNNNNNNNNNNNNNNNNNNNNNNNNNNNNNNNNNNNNNNNNNNNNNNNNNNNNNNNNNNNNNNNNNNNNNNNNNNNNNNNNNNNNNNNNNNNNNNNNNNNNNNNNNNNNNNNNNNNNNNNNNNNNNNNNNNNNNNNNNNNNNNNNNNNNNNNNNNNNNNNNNNNNNNNNNNNNNNNNNNNNNNNNNNNNNNNNNNNNNNNNNNNNNNNNNNNNNNNNNNNNNNNNNNNNNNNNNNNNNNNNNNNNNNNNNNNNNNNNNNNNNNNNNNNNNNNNNNNNNNNNNNNNNNNNNNNNNNNNNNNNNNNNNNNNNAAGGUGUGGGCUGAAUGUCGUGGUGUAGAGGUGGGGGGGUCCUGUAAGAAGCCGCGGCGGGGAUAGCAAGCCGGGAGACGAGAUGUGAGUGUCAGCACUAUGUCAUGUGGCGAGAGAGUAAGAUGGUGAAUUGCAUUUUUAAGAUAAGAAUAAAAGGUGAUUACUUUUUUUGGAAAAAACGAUGGUUUGCUAUGAGAGAAAUGUCACAUACUUGUUUAUAUAGUUAAAAAUAUCACAAACCCUAACAAGUUAUUUCUUGAGAAUAAUUACUAACAAGUGAUUUACAGAUGAGUCUACAUGUUAUUAAAAUUGGGAUGCGACUCACCCUACUAAAAGCGGUCACCUGCUUGCAUGUAGCAGCUGACGAAUAAAUAUAUACUCCUUCCGUCCCAAAAUUCUUGUCUUAGAUUUGUCUAGAUACGGAUGUAUCAAGAAUUUUGGGACGGAGGGAGUAUUAUAUAUGAGCUUUUUUAAGAUAUGUAUAUGUUCACUUUUGUACAUCAGAGAUAAAAGUCAAUGGUUGCGGAUGAUGCUACUGUUGAUCGACAAAGUCACUGACGUAAUUAUGAUUGACCAGACUGAAAACUCAUCAAACUUUACAAAAUCAGAAGAGAUGUAUACAAAUUAUGGUUCUUCUUUGUAUAUAAACUACACACAAUAAUACAAAAGGUGUAUUUCUCUCACUCUCUCUCUCUCUCUCUCUCUCUCUCUCUAUAUAUAUAUAUAUAUAUAUAUAUAUAUAUAUAUAUAUAUAUAUAUAUAUAUAUUAUUUUUUGUAGAUUACGAUAGCGAUGGAGAUGAAUUAUGUCGAAGUUCAAAUGAAUCCAUCAAGAAGGGUCCCAACGACGUCGUUGGAAGGGGUAAAAAAGUCACCAAGUCUUAUACAACAAUACAAAAAGUCAUCAGAAAAAAAAGUUAAAAGGCCCGUAGCAACACAAGGGAAUACAUUGAAUCCAGAAAUCCCGGAUCCCACUUAUUUUUAUUGAUCUGAUUCUGAGGCCUACCUCUUUCUUGCGGCGGAGAGGCGCCAUACUUAACGCAGGUGAUGGCAAAAUAUCUCAAGUUUGCAUGCCAAUGAUAUUUAUCGGACUCGAAAGACGAUGCAUCCAUUCAAAUUGGGCAUCGCUUCUACAUGGCAUUCGGUGUAACCUACCAAAUAUCUCCCAGGCAUAAAUGGUUAUUAUUUUGAAGUAUGGCACCCAAAUAAUUCAUCCAUGACAUGUCUUGAAAUUAAUUUAUUCUACUGAUUAUUCAGAACAUGAGUGUUAGAUUUUGUAGUCCAAAAAGAUGAUAAUGAAGUUGAGAGAAGAGAGUAUGCCUAGGAUCUAUGAACAUGAUGUGUGACAAGAGAUGGUAUGACUUCUUCAGAGAACCAUCUUGAUCCUUCUUUUUUCUUCAUAUAUGGCCAACCAUUGAUUAUUGUGGUGCGGAAGGUCGUGAGCGCUAGAGAUUGUGGCACUAUUUAGAGGGUUGGGCGGCAACUCAGGUAGAGGGAGGUAGUGCGUGACAACAUUUGCUGACUGUUGAUGGUGGUGGCAAGUGGUUUCGUAGGUAGAGGUGGGCGGGUCAAUAGACUGGACGGAGAAAAAGGUAUGCAGAGGGAGGAAGAAGAGUAGUAGUAGCAGCGGGUGUUGGCGGCGGAGGAGAGGCAAGGGGUUAGCGGUCUCGAGUGCGGGGUGCGGGAGGUCGUGGGCACCAAAAUGAUGGUAGGUUUUAGAGGAACGACUGGCGUCAGCGUUGACAGAGGUGGUGACUUGAGCAAGUGGCGACGUGUGGCAACACUCGCCGGCUGUAGGGUGGCGGUGGCAGGUGCUUAGGCAGGGAGAGGCGGGCGGGUUGACAAAGUGGUCGAAUAAAAAAUCUGCGGCUACGGGAGGAAAACGAAGAAUUAGAGGCGGGUCAUCGUUGGAUGAGAAGGGGCAGGGGAUUAACGGAUUUGAAGGCGGGGUACAGGAUAUCUCAGGUGGCGGAGAUGGUGGUGGUGUUUAGAGGGAUAGCCGACACAUCAUGUUACAGCAUUUCGUUUGCACCAUCCAUCCCGAACAAUCACGGAAAAUAGAGAAAUUGGUGGAACUAUGUUAGAAAGAUCUAUUUGGGUGAAGAGAUGAGGAAUAAUGUAGUUCAUGACAGUCAUUUUCAUCGUCUACAUAUUGUCAGCUUUGUCGGCACAGGAACACAUAGAGUGAGGGGUGCGUGGAGUGAAAGAGUGAGAGGGCUGGUUGUGGUGAGAAAGUGGCUGAGGUCAGAAUAAGGCUAGGCAGGUAAGCUAAAAAAAUGGAUAGACAACAUUCUUGAUUGUGAGAUAAUUUCUUAAGUGCAUCAAGUAAAUUUCAAUUUGUAACAUAUUUUUAGUUAGAUAAUCGCUUUAUAUGCAUACAUCGUCAAAUUGUUUUUUAAUCAAUUUACAUUGCAAGUGAAGUGGACUUCAAUUAUUACCCAAUUAUGCCCACGCUAUCUUUUCUCUACAUGUGAAAUUUAACUUGUGUUAUGUUUAUAUAACUUCAGCAAAAUAUUUUAAAAGCCCGUGGCAACGCACGGGCAUUAUACUAGUAUAUAUAGGACGUCAGUUUGGGACACCUAGGUGCCUGGACACCUUGCCUAUCCAUCGUUGGAUCGUGCUUAGCGACUGAUUUGGAAACCAAUAUAAAUGAUUUAAUUACUAGUUAAUUUGGCAGACUUUAAUUCUUUAACCGUCCAUGCAUGCAUGUCACAUCAUAGAAAAGGAAGGUCAUUAAAAUACCAUAGUGAAUAAAAAUCAACAUUUAUUACCUCCUUAUAUAGCACUUAUUUAUUCGUAAAAUAAAUAACUACGUAUGUAAAUAGACAUGUAUAUUACGUAAUUUCAGUAGUAAGUAUACACAUACCCAUCACAUAAUUGGGUAUACACAUACACAUACCCGUACUUUAUUUGAAAAGCACGCGUGUAUGUACAUAAUUUUUUAGGAGUAUAUGCAUACCCCGCGUAUGUACAUUUUUUCUUUGUUAGGUAUAUGGAUACCCGCGUAUGUAUAUAAUUUCUUUUUUUUGCGGGGUAUGUAUAUAAUUUUGUUAGUAGGUAUAUGCAUACCCACGUAUGUAUAUAAUUUUUUUUUUGCGGGGUAUGUAUAUAAUUUCGUUAGUAGGUAUAUGCAUACCCACGUAUGUACAUAAUUCCGUUAGUAGGUAUAUACAUUUCCGCUAUGUAUAUAAUUUCUUUACUACCUAAAACCUAGAAUAAAUCAUUAGAUAUAUACGUAGCCGUGUACGAACAUAAUUUUAUUAGUAGGUAUAUAUACCAAGGGUAUGUUUAUAUUAUUUGGAGUCAGCGCACAAUUUGUCGAUAUACAUAAUAAAAAAAUUGUCAUGGAUACCUCAUGAAGGUAUCGCUUUUUAUAUAUACAUGUAUUCAUCUGUGCAUAGAAAAUCCACAAGCCGGCGAGUUACAUUGUGCGUACAUAGUAUACCUUGAUCUAAAGAGGAUGCAUGUAAUCAUGUAUAUAUCUUUCCUUUUUAUUGUGUCAUUCUCACUCCACCAAUUAAUGUGUGUUUUAAUUUUAUUCAAAUCAAUAAAUGCAAAUGGGUGGACAUGUGAGCUAUUAAAUGCUAGGUGCCUGGGCACCUAGGUAUAUAUAUAUGAACCACGCAAUGAUGCUUGGAGUAUCGUGUGCUCCACCUCCUCAUAGUCAGUAGCCAGUAACACUGCUCGACUCGAUUGAUGACUCUAAUCAACUAUUCGAGGUAUGAAUGACAUAUGGCUGUCCAAUUUGUAUUCCAAGCUCUCUCUCCAUCUAGCCAUAUAUAUAUGGAGAUAUUACCAUCAAUGCGAUAAAUUACAAGCCCGCUAGUAUUAUUGUAUAGUAGUUGGAAGCAAUUGAGCUGCACGAUAGAAUAAUAUGUGGCAUCCUCAGCUAACGUUGCAUGCAUGUACCUUAGUCAUUCAAAUGUAAACGGGCCAUGGUCAUGCUAAGUCCAAAAGCCUCCAAAUUUAGACCUAAAACAAGCUUAUUCUUUUUUUCCCUUUUAGUGAGAGGCUUGAGCAGAAACUCAGGGAAUCAAAUGUGUUACAGAUAUCUCUAUAGAAAGAAAAGUGAGUUGAAGACUUGAACUGCAAAAUUCCAACAUAGUUCUAAGCCAAGAUGUGUCAACUAUGAUACUGAGAAUUGAAAUGCUAUUUUUUCAAUUUAAUUGUACAUACUAUGUAACAGAAAUUCUCAAGCCUCUUCUUCCGUUCUAGGUAAGGACAUUUUUUUUGUUUGACCAUGUAUAUAGAAAAAAUCAUUAAUAUCUACAAUAUCAAAUAUAUCUAGUAUAAACAUAUAUUUUAUGAUGAAUCUAAUUAAAAUAAUUUGGUGUUGUAGAUGUCAGUAUAUUUUUCAGUAGACUUUCUCAAACUUAAAUAUGUUGACCUAGAAAAAAACUAAAACUUAAAGUAUUUUAAAACAGACGGAGUAGAAAAUAAUCUCGUUCACCUCAACUCGAGCUGUCUUCUUGGUUCAGAUUAGCACGUAGCCGGCCCGGUCUUAGUAGGCAUUCCCUUACAUCAUCAACACACAAAAAGUUGAAAAGAUGAACAUGUAUAGUAUUUUUUUUUUGACAAGAGAAGGGCGACCAAAGCCAUUUGAAAGAGCAUCCAAGGCUCGGAGGUCCGAGCUAUGUCAAGUACAACUGUGAUUCUGGAUGAACAUGCAAUCCACUGGGCCACGCUAUGUCAGAGUAGAACACACACACUUCUCUGGCUUGUCUCGGUCAUAGAAUUUCCAGGUGACUCCCAAGCCUGGCUCAUGAAUGAAAGAAGAGACGGAGCAAUGCGAUGUGAACCUAAAAGGGGAAUAUUUGGCACGUUACUGUCACUAGUAGGAAAAGGGGCUUAGGUCACAGGACAGUUUUCACAUUAGCCUCGGUUCAGUCACGAACCGGGACUAAUGUGAGCAUUGGUCCCGGUUCGUGCGGCCAGGGACCUGCCGGGCCUCGUGGGGGCAUUGGUCCCGGUUCGUCCGGACCCUUUGGUCCCGGUUGGUGGGACAAAUCGGGACCAAUGGCCUUUAGUCCCGGUUGGUGCCACCAACCGGGACCAAUGAUUUCCCUAUAUAUACCCCAUCGCCACAGCAGAGCACUCCAGAGUGCUCUGUUUUUUCUGGCCGGCGAGGGGAGGGCAUUUGGGUGCUCUAGCUCACCUCCUAUGCACAUGAGGUGUUCGAUGAAAUGUCUGAGCCACACUAGUUAAUCUUUGUCCUCUCGAAACUCGACCUCCGAGCUCCAUUUUCCCCGAGAUUUGUCUAGGUUUAGCGGUCCGUCACGUCCCGUCCCCGUCUUCACCGCCGUCGAUCGCCCGCGCUGAUCUCGUCGCCAGCACCACCGUGGUGAGCCUCUUGUCUUUUCUUCUUUCUGAAAGGAAAAAAAUUCUUACUUUAGAUAGUUACUUGUCUAAUUUUGUUACUUUUAUUAUUCCUUCUUAUUACAUAGUGCGAUGGUUUUGGUAUCGGCCCUCGUCCUGUCUAUGAUUCGGAUGUGGUAUAUAUUUUUUUAUAACUAUUUGGUUCGUUUAUUGUUUAUGACAAAUAUACCGACCAACGUGACAUAGAUUUUAUUUAUCUAGGAGGUGGUUGAACCGGAAAUUCUAACCGACCAUAUUGUCGAAAGGUUAAAUUUAGUUGAAGAAGAAAACAAUUACUUGAAGGAAAAAAUAAAAAAAAUUGAGGAGGAGAAGAUGAUAUUGGAGUUGCAUGUUGCAGAUGUCGUCGAUGAUCACAAGAUCAAGAUGGAUGCAAUGCGCUUGAAGAUUAGAAAGAUUAGAAAAUAUGCCAUUCAUACCGAGGCUUGGUAUCAUUAUGCCGUUGGAUCAAUUGUUACCUUGGUUGCGAUUAUGAUCGCAUUUGUUUUCGCAUUGAAAUGUUUUACAUAGUUUCAAUGUAUGGUUUAAUUAAUUAGAUGCUCUGGAGAGCUAUAUAUAUGUUGUUAGAUGAGAACUAUGUAUGUACUUUGGUUCUAAUGUGAUGAUGAACUUCUAUUAAUUUGGUCACUUAAUUAUCUAUUCAUGAUGUUCUGUAAUGGUUUUUGACAUACUUAAUUAUAUAUAAUGCACGCAGAUGAACCGGCAAUGGAUGUACGGUGACAAACACACCUCCGAGUACAUUAAGGGCGUGCAUGAUUUUCUCGAAGUGGCUGAGGCAAACAAGCAGAAUGAUUUUAUGUGUUGUCCAUGCCCUACAUGUGGGAAUACGAAGUCUUACUCUGACCGGAAAAUCCUUCACACCCACCUGCUUUACAAGGGUUUCAUGCCACACUAUAAUGUUUGGACGAGGCACGGAGAAAUGGGGGUUAUGAUGGAAGACGGCAAAGAAGAAGAGGACGAUGACAACUAUGUGCCCCCUGAAUACGGUGAUGCUGCAACGGGGGAAGCUACUGAAGAUCAAGAGGAACCAGACGAUGUGCCCAAUGAUGCUGCAAGGGGGGGAAGCUGCUAAAGAUCAAGAGGAACCAGUGCCCGAUGAUGAUGAUCUCCGCCGGGUCAUUGUCGAUGCAAGGACGCAAUGCGAAACUCAAAAGGAGAAGCUGAAGUUCGAUCGCAUGUUAGAGGAUCACAAAAAAGGGUUGUACCCCAAUUGCGAAGAUGGCAACACAAAGCUCGGUACCGUACUGGAAUUGCUGCAGUGGAAGGCAGAGAAUGCUGUGCCUGACAAAGGAUUUGAGAAGCUAUUGAAAAUAUUGAAGGAGAAGCUUCCAAAGGAUAACGAAUUGCCCGACAGUACAUACGCAGCAAAGAAGGUCGUAUGCCCUCUAGGAUUGGAGGUGCAAAAGAUACAUGCAUGCCCUAAUGACUGCAUCCUCUACCGCGGUGCGUACAAGGAUCUGAACGCAUGCCCGGUAUGCGGUGCAUUGCGGUAUAAGAUCAGACGAGAUGACCCUGGUGAUGUUGACGGUGAGCCCCCCAGGAAGAGGGUUCCUGCGAAGGUGAUGUGGUAUGCUCCUAUAAUACCACGGUUGAAACGUCUGUUCAGAAACGAAGAGCAUGCCAAGUUGAUGCGAUGGCACAUUGAGGACCGUAAGAAAGACGAGAAGUUGAGAGCACCCGCUGACGGGUCGCAGUGGAGAAAAAUCGAGAGAAAGUACUGGGCUGAGUUUGCAGCUGACCCAAGGAACGUAUGGUUUGGUUUAAGCGCGGAUGGCAUUAAUCCUUUCGGGGAGCAGAGCAGCAAUCACAGCACCUGGCCCGUGACUCUAUGUAUGUAUAACCUUCCUCCUUGGAUGUGCAUGAAGCGGAAGUUCAUUAUGAUGCCAGUUCUCAUCCAAGGCCCUAAGCAACCCGGCAACGACAUUGAUGUGUACCUAAGGCCAUUAGUUGAAGAACUUUUACAGCUGUGGAAUGGAAAUGGUGUACGUACGUGGGAUGAGCACAAACAGGAGGAAUUUAACCUGCACGCGUUGCUGUUUGUAACCAUCAACGAUUGGCCCGCUCUCAGUAACCUUUCAGGACAGACAAACAAGGGAUACCACGCAUGCACGCACUGUUUAGAUGACACUGAAAGUAUAUACCUGGACAAAAGCAGGAAGAAUGUGUACCUGGGCCAUCGUCGAUUUCUUCCGACCAACCAUCAAUGUUGAAAGAAAGGCAAGCAUUUCAAAGGCGAGGCAGAUCACCGGAAGAAGCCCGCCAUGCGUACCGGUGAUCACGUACUUGCUAUGGUCAAUGAUUUACACGUAAUCUUUGGAAAGGGUCCCGGCGGACUAGCUGUUCCGAAUGACGCUGAGGGACACGCACCCAUGUGGAAGAAGAAAUAUAUAUUUUGGGACCUACCCUACUGGAAAGAGCUAGAGGUCCGCUCUUCAAUCGACGUGAUGCACGUGACGAAGAACCUUUGCGUGAACCUGCUAGGCUUCUUGGGUGUGUAUGGGAAGACAAAAGAUACACCUGAGGCACGGGAGGACCUGCAAUGUUUGCACGAAAAAGACGGCAUGCCUCCGAAGCAGUAUGAAGGUCCUGCCAGCUACGCUCUUACGAAAGAAGAGAAAGAAAUCUUCUAUGAAUGCCUGCUCAGUAUGAAGGUCCCGACUGGCUUCUCGUCGAAUAUAAAGGGAAUAAUAAAUAUGCCAGAGAAAAAGUCCCAGAACCUAAAGUCUCAUGACUGCCACGUGAUUAUGACGCAACUGCUUCCGGUUGCAUUGAGGGGGCUUCUACCGGAAAACGUCCGAUUAGCCAUUGUGAAGCUAUGUGCAUUCCUCAAUGCAAUCUCUCAGAAGGUGAUCGAUCCAGAAAUCAUACCAAGGCUAAGGAGUGAUGUGGCGCAAUGUCUUGUCAGUUUCGAGCUGGUGUUCCCACCAUCCUUCUUCAAUAUCAUGACGCACGUCCUAGUUCAUCUAGUCGACGAGAUUGUCAUUCUGGGGCCCGUAUUUCUACACAAUAUGUUCCCCUUUGAGAGGUUCAUGGGAGUCCUAAAGAAAUAUGUCCGUAACCGCGCUAGGCCAGAAGGAAGCAUCUCCAUGGGCCAUCAAACAGAGGAUGUCAUUGGGUUUUGUGUUGACUUCAUUCCUGGCCUUAAGAAGAUAGGUCUCCCUAAAUCGCGGUAUGAGGGGAGACUGACUGGAAAAGGCACGCUUGGAGGGGGAGACUCAAUAAUAUGCAGGGACGGAUAUUCUUGGUCUCAAGCACACUACACAGUUCUACAGAACUCUACCUUGGUGACCCCGUAUGUCGAUGAACACAAGAACAGUCUGCGCUCCAAACACCCGGAGCAGUGUGACGACUGGAUUACAUGUGAACACAUCAUGACUUUCAGCAGUUGGUUGGAAACACGUCUGAGAGGUGACACCACUGUUUGUGAUGAGUUGUACUCGUUGUCCAGGGGACCAUCUUCGACUGUAUUGACUUACAAAGGAUACGAGAUAAAUGGGAAUACAUUUUACAUGAUCGCCCAAGAUCAAAAGAGCACCAACCAAAACAGCAGUGUCCGCUUUGAUGCAGCAACCGAGAGGGGAAAGGACACAUAUUAUGGUUACAUAAUGGACAUAUGGGAACUUGACUACGGACAUGAUUUUAAGGUCCCUUUGUUUAAGUGCAAAUGGGUCAAUCUGUCAGGAGGCGGGGUACAGGUAGACCCACAGUACGGAAUGACAACAGGGAUCUGAACAAUCUUGGAUACACUGACAAACCGUUCGUCCUAGCCAAUGAUGUGGCACAGGUUAUCUAUGUGAAUGACAUGUCUACCAGACCGAGGAAAAGAAAAGAUAAGGAAGCGAAUACGUCAUACGAUGAGCCAAAGCGGCACAUAGUUCUUUCAGGAAAAAGGGACAUUGUGGGAGUGGAGGGCAAGACAGACAUGUCUGAAGAUUAUGAAAAGUUUGAUGAAAUUCCUCCCUUCAAAGUCAAGGCUGACCCAAGCAUCCUGAUAAACGAUGAAGAUUAUCCAUGGUUACGGCGCAAUAAGCAAAUGACACAAGCGAAGAAAAAGUGAAGACUUUCUCCCGCAACUAUUAUGAUGAUACCAUGCCAACUUUGUAAUAGACGAGUAUGAUACCAUUGUCCGUUUUGUACAAGAAGUGCAUCUAGUUUUUGCCGUAACCCUCUCAACUUUCUUGCACAUGCUAUGUGGAUGAAAUGGUGAUACCAUGCCAACUUUCAACCUUUUCAGAGUUCAUUUGAAAUGCUUUUCAAUUUUAGGGUCUUAUAGCUCAAAAUAAUUAGUAAAUGCAUGAAAAAUAACAGGCCAAAAAUUAAAAAUUAUGCCACCUACUGGGCCACCACGGCCUGAAUAUGAUUAGAAACCCAUCCAUGGGCCAGGAUUCAGGCCCGCAGAAGGUCCAGUAGGCCCACAGGCAUGUACAGAGAGGUUAGGCCCGUAAGCCUGCUUUAGAGAGGAGCUCGACAGCUCAGGCGCACUGCACCUUAUAAACAGGUGCGGCUCUCUCUUAGCUAGCGAGGUGGGACUAAACUCACCACCACGCCGCUGUGCAAGGCCAUUGGUCCCGGUUGGUGGCACGAACCGGGACCAAUUCCACCCUUUGGUCCCUGUUGGUGCCACGAACCGGUACUAAUGAGGCUGUGGCCCCACGAGCACCUUUAGUACCUGUUCGUGGCACGAACCGGUACUAGAGUUUCUUACUAGCUAAGGAGUUUUUUAGUCCCACCUCGCUAGCUGAGAGGCACUAGGAGCGGUUUAUAAGCCCCGAGUGCAGAGACGAUGAAGAAGAGGCGUAAUGCUCACGUUGCUUAGCUUAAAGCCUUGAGGAAUAAGGUAGACUGCAUCGAGCUAUGUGCAGUGCAGUCUACACUAUUCCGAAAGGCUUGAAGCAAAUCAACGCGCAUUGCGCCUCUUUUUUAUUUUUAAUCAUUAAAAGCAAAAAGAAUUUUCAUAAAGAACUUUUUUGAUAUAAACUUUAAUAGCAGAAAGAAUGAUCAUAAAGUAAAAUAAAUAAGUAAUCAGAAACAAAAUAAAAUAAAUUAAAAUAAGUUUUUUGUUGUAAGUAGAAACAAAACAAAAUAAAUAUAGCAAAAAAGAAAACAAAAAAAUAAAUACAGCAAAAAGAAUUUUCAUAUAAAGAACUAAUGGCACUAAUAGAAAGUUUAUAUUUUUUCUAAAACUAAUGGCACUAACAGACAGUUUAUAAUUUUGCUGACCUAAAAGCAAAAAGAAUUAAAAAAUAAAGCAAAAAACAAAAGAAAAUAAAUAAUGCAAAAAACAAAACCAAAAAACUGGAAAAAAAAUUAAAAAACUGCCACCUAUUGGGCCACCACGGCCUGAAUACGACUAGAAACCCAACCUGGGCCAGGAUUCAGGCCCGCAGAAGGCCCAAUAGGCCCACAGACAGCACAGUGUGACAUUAGGCCCGUAAGCCUGCAUUUGAGAGGAGCUCGAGAGGGCAGCCGCAGUGGGGCUUAUAAACCACUCUGAGCCCCUCUCAACUAGCGAGGUGGGACUAAACUUUUGGCCGCGGGCAGCGCAAGUCCUUUGGUCCCGGUUGGUGGCACCAACCGGGACCAAUGCCCCCCCCUUUAGUCCCGGUUGGUGCCACCAACCGGGACCAAAGGCCGCGGCUUCCCGCCCUUUGGGCUGCUGAAAAGGGACCUUUGGUCNNNNNNNNNNNNNNNNNNNNNNNNNNNNNNNNNNNNNNNNNNNNNNNNNNNNNNNNNNNNNNNNNNNNNNNNNNNNNNNNNNNNNNNNNNNNNNNNNNNNNNNNNNNNNNNNNNNNNNNNNNNNNNNNNNNNNNNNNNNNNNNNNNNNNNNNNNNNNNNNNNNNNNNNNNNNNNNNNNNNNNNNNNNNNNNNNNNNNNNNNNNNNNNNNNNNNNNNNNNNNNNNNNNNNNNNNNNNNNNNNNNNNNNNNNNNNNNNNNNNNNNNNNNNNNNNNNNNNNNNNNNNNNNNNNNNNNNNNNNNNNNNNNNNNNNNNNNNNNNNNNNNNNNNNNNNNNNNNNNNNNNNNNNNNNNNNNNNNNNNNNNNNNNNNNNNNNNNNNNNNNNNNNNNNNNNNNNNNNNNNNNNNNNNNNNNNNNNNNNNNNNNNNNNNNNNNNNNNNNNNNNNNNNNNNNNNNNNNNNNNNNNNNNNNNNNNNNNNNNNNNNNNNNNNNNNNNNNNNNNNNNNNNNNNNNNNNNNNNNNNNNNNNNNNNNNNNNNNNNNNNNNNNNNNNNNNNNNNNNNNNNNNNNNNNNNNNNNNNNNNNNNNNNNNNNNNNNNNNNNNNNNNNNNNNNNNNNNNNNNNNNNNNNNNNNNNNNNNNNNNNNNNNNNNNNNNNNNNNNNNNNNNNNNNNNNNNNNNNNNNNNNNNNNNNNNNNNNNNNNNNNNNNNNNNNNNNNNNNNNNNNNNNNNNNNNNNNNNNNNNNNNNNNNNNNNNNNNNNNNNNNNNNNNNNNNNNNNNNNNNNNNNNNNNNNNNNNNNNNNNNNNNNNNNNNNNNNNNNNNNNNNNNNNNNNNNNNNNNNNNNNNNNNNNNNNNNNNNNNNNNNNNNNNNNNNNNNNNNNNNNNNNNNNNNNNNNNNNNNNNNNNNNNNNNNNNNNNNNNNNNNNNNNNNNNNNNNNNNNNNNNNNNNNNNNNNNNNNNNNNNNNNNNNNNNNNNNNNNNNNNNNNNNNNNNNNNNNNNNNNNNNNNNNNNNNNNNNNNNNNNNNNNAAAUGUUUUUUUGUUCAUAGAAAGUUUUUUGUUCAUAUAUAGAAAGUUUUUAUAUAUGACAAUGGAUAUAUAUUCGAUAUAUAUGAGAAAUGAUGACCCACAUGGAAAAGUUUUAUAUAUGCAAAAGUUACAAUUUUAGAAAAGUUUUAUAUAUCUAGCUAGGAAGGGAAGAAGAAGAAAAAGAAGGAUAGGAAAGAAGAAAAUAAGAAGAGGAAAGAAAGAAGAAGAGGAGAGGAAGAAGAGGAAAAAAGAAGAAAAAGAAGAGGAGAAGAAGAAAGGAAUAGAGGAGAAGAAGAAAGGAAUAGAGGAGAAGAAGAAAAAAAUAGAAUAAUAGAAGAAAGGAAUAGAGGAGAAGAAGAUUCUUCUUCUCCUCUCUUUUUUUCUUCAAUCCUCUCCUCUAUUCCUUUCUUCUUCUCCUAUUUUUAUUUCUUCUUCGUUUUCUUAUGUUUUAUCGGGUCUGUCGUCGUCGAUAUAUACCCCUCCCGAUAACUUCAACACGAGGGGGGAUAACUUCAACACGAGGGGGGUGUCGAUAUACCCCCUCCCCGAUAACAUUAUUUUCCCGUGUAUAUAUGUCGUCGUUGUCGAUAUAACCCCCUCCUGAUAACUUCAACACGUGGGGGGGGGUCGAUAUACCCCCUCCCCGAUAACAUUAUUUCCCCGUGUAUGUAUGUUGUCGUUGCCGAUAAUACCCCCUCCCGAUAACUUAAACACGAGGGGGGGUCGAUAUACCCCCUCCUCGAUAACAUUAUUUUCCCGUGUAUGUAUGUCGUCGUUGUCGAUAUAAAACCCCCUCCCGAUAACUUCAACACGUGGGGGGGUCAAUAUACCCCCUCCCCGAUAACAUUAUUUUCCCGUGUAUGUAUGUCGUCGUUGUCGAUAUAUAUAACUCCCUCCCAGAUAACUUCGACAUGAUGGACGGUCGAUAUGUAUACCCCUUCUCGACCGUGAUAACUUAUAUCACGGGAGCACCCCCCGGCUCUCUCGCUCGACCAAAACUCUCGAGGACACCCAAACCCUAGAAAAAAACGAUGUCGAUCUCCUACCCCCUCCCGCCGCGCCCCUACCCUUGAAGCGUUGCCUAGGCCACCCCAAACCCGGAAUAAGCUAGGUCUACGUUUGCACUAAUAUAUCCACCUGCUGUCAUGUUUGUGUAAUAAUUGCCAUGUUUUAAUAUUUGCAGAAACAAUGGAGCACAGACGAGAUGAGCAAGCAGAAGAGGUGUUGGGGGACAUAAUCUUAGCCGGAGGUGAUAUCUUGUCGUAUCUUAACGACAAUGAUGGUCUGGAAGAACAGGGUGAAGAAGCAGGAUACGGUGAUCGAAGAGUGGAGGAGGAAAGACAUGACGGUGACCCAAUGCUGGUGCAAGAGGGAGCCCGUGGUGACGGCUCCGGUGACCGAACAGAGUCCGGCCAGGUAAAUAUAUUAGUUAAGCAUGUGCUGACUAGCUAAUUGAUGCAUUCAUUGUUUUGGUAUGUACACAUAUUAAUUAACACUCGUCUUUCUUCUUUUUUCUAGCCCUCCGGAUCGAGCACAACUGCGGUAAAGAGACGAGGCCCGAAGAGAAAGUUGCGCUUGGAUGAAAGGUUUGAGAUCACAGCAAUCGCGCGCGACGGCCAACCGAUUGAACCCCUCCGGACAAAGGAUGCUUUUGCUGCUCAGUGCGGGGUUCUAGUUAGGGACAAGAUCCCGAUCAGCAUCCACCAAUGGUAUAAGCCUAAGAAGGAAGACUCUGAGGUGUCUUAUGUCAAUGAUAUGCAGAAAGAUGAUCUUUGGACUGAGCUGAAGGCAAAUUUCACCCUACCGCCAGAGGAGGAUCCGGAGAAGCCAGUUAUAGAGCAAUUAAUCAAGUCUCAUGCUCUUAAGAAGAUGGCAGACCUAUUCAGGAGGUGGAAGAAUGAGCUGAAAACGUUUGUCGACAAAGAAGAGACACCAGAAUUCAUCGGCCGGUAUGAGAAGAUCAAAGAUCACUGGCCCGCAUUUGUGGCCCACAGGACAUCGGAAAAGAGUAAGAAGAUGUCAGCGACAAACAAGAAGAAUGCUGCGAAGAAGAAGUUUCACCAUCGCACGGGGUCAGGUGGCUACCUCAAAGCCCGGCCUAAGUGGGCCAAGUCUGAGAGGGAUCUGCUUGAUAAAGGGAUCGAACCAGAGACAAUGAACUGGCCAGACCGUUGCCGGACUUGGUUCUUCGGGGCUGGCGGAACCUUGGACCUUGUAUCAGGGAGGUGUCGUUGGACGGACGAGCAACUUGCAAUACCCGUCAAGAAGCUUAAGCACUAUAUCGAUGCAGCGCAGCAAGGGACGUUCGUUCCAGACAGAGAGAAUGACGAGCUCACAAUGGCCCUCGGGAAUCCUGAGCACCCUGGACGGACACGAGGCACGCCAGGCUCCGUUCUGUGGAAGGCUGGUUUUCCGGACGCGGGCGGUUACAAAACCCAGGAGAGGAGGAAAAAAAGUGGAGCAGAUCCAAAUUCAGAAGCUGCACGAAAGGGUUCAAGCGCUAGAGGAACGAGACGGCAAUCGAGAUGCCGAAACUGCCCCCCAAGCUACACCGCCAUCUCAGCGGAGAAGCAGCGUGGUUUCCACCGAGCUGCCUCAGCUGGAGCAUGCGGCUCCUGCUAGCUACCCCGUGGAUGCUAUCACGGAGUCUCAACAUUGCCACCUUAUGGCGGAAUGGCAGAACUUGAAAGUCAAGGCGGCUGUUGGCUCUGUUUUACCUACUAAACAAGGCGCAACCUACCACUGCCGGCCGAUUCCAGAAGGAUAUGCUAGGGUGAUGGUGGAUGAAAUAACGGAGGGAUUUGAGGACCUCCAGCUUGACCACCCUACUGGUGAAGGGGAGACUCGGCUAGGUUUAGCUCUAAAGACUCCAUGCCUAUGGCGGAAGGAGCUCAUCAAGCUUCCGAACUGGACGGCUCCGGCGAGCAAGGGCACUCCGCCUCCUCCUCCUCCGCCUCCUCCUCCGGCGAGUGAUCAGGGCACUCAGCCUCCUUCUCCGGCGCGUGGCGGCACUCCGCCUCCUUCUCCGCCAGCGCCGGCGCGUCAGAGCAGCCAGCCUCCUCCUUCUCCGCCUCGUCAGCAAGGGCGGAAGAGACCCGCCACCGCUGCGGCUGCUCCGGCACGUCGUAGUCCUUCUCCUCCGCCUCGUAAGCAAGGAAAGAAGACAGCCGCAGCCGCUCCGUCUGCUCUGCCGGCGUCUAGCAGUACAGCUGCCAGAGGCGGGAGGCAAUACAGAUUCGGUCCUUCUCUGAAGACUCCAGAGAAGUUACCAUAUGAGAGGACCGAGGAGGAGAACGCGAAGAUCGUGCGAGCCGAAGUGAAGAACUUCUUUGAAGGGGUGAAAGCAAAGAAACAUCCACCUCCGGAGGAGAAGGUAGAUCCGGUGAAAGCAAAGCGCACUCUGGCUGCCCUGACAAAACCACCAAAGUCUCCGCCGAGAGGCAACUAUGAGCGCGUUCUUGCAAAGACAUAUGCCGAAGCGGAGCGGUCGGGAAGUACGGUCUGUGAUAAAAGGAUGAAAGAACGACGAGCUGGGAAAAAAUUGCCCAGCUCGGCGAACAAGCGAACCAAUCGUGCCCCCCGCUCAAGGUGUCAAAAGACAUCGUCGCUAAUGAUCCGAGUAUGGUGCCCGGUUAUAGCAAUCUUGGAGAUUACCUACCCAACGAUGUACAUUAUGAAAUCAUGGAGGUGGACGAACACAAAUACCAUUACGGGAAGCCUCUCGUCAAAGAUGUCAGAUCUCUAAGCACGAUGAUGCGAAGACUACAUGAUUGGUACAUGAAAACCUGCAGAGAGUCUGAUGGGAUGAGUACUUUGACGUUGAGAGUUAAACCAGAGCAUGACCUCGUUGGAAUUGAACUGCUGAAUGUUCCAUUUGAGGAUUUGUUCCAGUUUUACAAUUAAAAGGCCCUCGAUAAAACAACGAUCACUUGCUACUGUCUGUAAGUAGUACUACUUCUGUCAUUAAGUCUCUCUAUAUAGGUCAGCUCCUUCAUUGCAUGUAUUUAUACUUAUCCUCACUAUAUUAUGCAGAUUGAAGAUCGCCGAAUUGAAGAAAAGACAAAUCGGUGAUAUUGGGUUCAUUAACACAAAUCUCAUAGAUGCAUAUACGGUUGAAAAACAUCCCAAAGAAGCCGAGGCCAACUUGCUACAAUCGUUGGUAUUAAAUGAAAACAAAGAUAUAAUACUCUUUCCUUACAACUUCAAGUGAGUGUUACUAUCUUGUGCAUAUUCGGUUUCCUUUAUUAGUCCAGGUUAUGGUAAUGUAAUUGAUGACUUAUGCAUGCAUGCGCAUCUUACACUAUAUUAUCCUAGAGAUUAAGCUUGAGCCGGGAGUAGUAACCGUCUUAGACUCGAGACGAAAAGAUCCCCAAGACUAUGCGAACAUGACUCAAAUGCUCCAGAAGUAAGUUAAAUCGAUCAUUAUCCACCAUAUCAGCAACUUUGUUCAUUUCCUGAUAUCAAGUAAUUGUUUUCUUUGUCUGGCAGGGUUUGGAGAAAAUUCACCUCAAAAGCUCCGGGACUGCCGAAAAAGCUGCAAUUUAAUCACCCGAAAGUAAGUACUAUAGUAGCAUGUUCCGCGCAUCUCCUAGUGAUUCAAGCGGUAGUUUCAUCAAUACCAUUUAGCAUGCUUGCUUAUCAGUUUGAUUGACCUCUAUUUCUUGUAAAGUGGUUGUGGCAGGAACCCGGGAAUAAUUACUGUGGAUACCACGUUUGCGAGUCCAUCCGCUACCAUACUUGUGAGCGGGGCUACACUAAAGAACAAUAUGAAGUGCGUAAGCAAUAAUAUUCACAAUUUUAUUUUAUUACCAUCAUUUGUGUUGAGUUUCAUUUAUUCAUAUAUAUAUAUAUAUAUAUAUAUAUAUAUAUAUAUAUAUAUAUAUAUAUAUGUAUUGACCCCCUUCUUCAAAUUAGAUCUUUCGGAUGCGGGAUGAACUCCUAGCAGAAGAUCGUAUGCGAGGAAUUCAAGAGGAAUUGGCGGCGUUCUUCCUUGACCACGUGAUCGCUGAAAACGGAGAAUACUAUGUGGACCCUGUGUUCCUACAAUAUAAUUAGGAGAUUGUAUUGUAAGAGAUAAUUAUUGUAUAUAUAUAGCCGGUAGUGUCGGAUAGAUAUACGAGACCUUGUUGUUCGACCAAUAUCUCGGAGAAGGAGAGGUGGUCGAUAUCACUUCUCUCUGUAUGCAUAUGUUCAUGACGAUUUUCUGUUUCCUUCAUUUGAUUACUAGCUAGCGUGUCUACUCCUCUCCAUACGUAUAUAGUACGUAGCGUCGACCAAGCACGGAGAUAAGAGAGGACACUUCUCUCUAUUAAUUAGCUAGCUAACACAAUAUAUGAAACACCUAAAUUAACCCCCCAAAACCCCUAAACCACCCCUUUCAAAAAAACAAAAACCUCAGCUCCCGCCAGAUGCUGACGCGUGGAUGCCUAUUGCUCCCGGUUGGUGGCACCAACUGGGACCAAAGGCCCUCCUGCCUGGGCUCCCCGCACCGGCCACGUGGACGGCCUUUAGUCCCGGUUCGUGUAAGAACCGGGACUAAAGGGCUAGGGCAUUAGUAACGACCCUUUAGUCCCGGUUCCAGAACCGGGACUAAAGGCCCUUAUGAACCGGGGUAAAAACCCCUUUUCCUACUAGUGUGUGUCAUGCGACUUGAAAAGAAAGUUCCCUAGCACAUAUAGCUCCUACUUACAAAGUACUUGACCAUGUUACUACUUAUCAAAUAGUACCCGCUGCAAGCAUGGUGUAAAGGCCAAUAGGGUGAGACGAAUUUUGGGGGUUCACAAUGUCUUUUGCUUAGGCUUGAAACACUUAUUUUCUUAUUCUCUUUUUUAUUUUAUUUCGCCCUAGGCAAUCUCUUUGCUUGCUGACAUAAACUUUCAACAUAGAUCAAGUUGUUUUUUAGGAGUUUUACCUCUUGGUCAGGAUGUGAAAGGAAAACAGCACAUGUUUGGUGCUGCCGUUGGCAAAAGAAACACCAGAGUAGGCCACUUGAGAGAGAGACAUGGAGCAAGCCUGGUACCGGGUGUGUUAAACUGAAUACUGACUCGUGUUUAUUGAGCAGACUGGGCAGGGCGGCAUAGGAAUGGUGGCGAGGAACCAGCAAGGGGUAUUACAAACUAGUGUGCUCCACAUUUGCCCAGUCAUAGCUACUCAACCACUAGAGAUAUCGAUGACGCGGGACUGUUUUAUUUGGAUUCCAAGCUGUCUCUCCAUCUGGCCACAUAUAUGGACACAUCACCAUCAAUGCAAUUAAUUUGCUCUCUACUUGUACCUUAUAUAGUGGUUGAGAGCAAUUGAGUUGCACGAUAGAAUUUACCGUCCUCUGUAUUAUUCAUGUAGUCGCUGGGAUGUAACUUGGCUUGCUCAUGCUAAAGCCCAGAAGCCUCUGAAUCUAAAACAAACGCCUUUUCUUCUUCUUGUGGGAGGCUUGAUCAGACACUCUUGGGUCCAAAAAGGGCAUACUGUUUGAGCUAUGGAGAGCAUUUGCUCCUGAGAUGAGUAGUAAAUUCAAAAUAAACAGCAAGAAAUGGUGUCCAAAGUGUGCUUAACAACUUUAAUGCGCGACGGAACAAUAGUGUUUCAUGUAAAGAAAAAUGAAGUCUGGUGGUCUGGAAAUGCCAAAAAAAAAUGGCACUCCGCUUGUAUUUUUUGCCACAGAUUGAAGACUUCAAGUGCUUGGGCUUUCCACAUAAACAUGCGCAGAUAACAUUUGUACUUGAACAUGUCUAGGAAGAUCAUAUGUUUUACAUUUGCAGUAACAUUUUUGGCGCGCAGAAGCAAAUGCUCCGCAGAACUGAAUUGGAACCGUAUGUCAAAGACAUCUCCAUAGAAAGAAAAAUGAGUUUCCCUCAACACCAAAAAAAUGAGUUGGAUCCGUGAUCAACUGCAAUAUUCCAUUGUAGUCUUUUUUUAGGGAUUUAAUUUGUUCCAUUGUAGUCUUUUUUUAGGGAUUUAAUUUGUUCCAUUGUAGUCAGUGUCGGACUUUUGGUACUAUUACUCUCUCUCUCUCCUUCCGUGUCGCCCCUGCAUGGCGAGUCGGCGACGGAGAGGAAAACAUCGCGCGGGCGUCUCAACCAGGCUGAGGCGACCCGGUCUAGGAGGCAGACCUGGGCGGCGGCCGCCCGGCGUAGCUCUUCUCCACGGGAGAUACCUCCAGAAUUACCUCUUCUUUACACGGCGUGAGUCGAGUGUUACCGAGGAUGUGAAAGGAAAACAGAACAUGUCUGCUGCUGCUCGUUGGCAAAAGAAACACCAGAGUAGGCACUCGAGAGGAGACAUGCAGUAAGCCUGACCCUAGGUGGGUUAAACUGGACUGGCGGCUCAAUCGUUUAUUGUGCAGAUUGGGCAGGGUAGCACAGGAAUGGUGGCGAGGAACCAGGAAGGAGCGGUCAUUAUCUGGGCAGGUCUGCAACUUCCCCUAUUCGGCGGGGCGGAUCACGCUGAUAUUGCUGCUGUGGCUCCGUGCCUCCGGCUCCUUGCUGGCCCUCUUGUUUCUCUCGGAAAAAACAAAUCUACGGACCAUGUUUCUCGAGGACCAGUCGACAUGGUGAUCUGGAUAUGCAACUUGGAGAAAAUCGAGCCUAUACGAAACUCCUUCCUGCAGCUGGUGACUCUUCGCGUUUUGCAAGCAUGAUCAUGUGGUUCCGCGGGUCCUAGAUUUCGGCUGCCUCCCAAGCCACACCCUUAUGAACAUGAAAGAGUUCAUAUACAUUCAGCAUGUAUAUGAAUCAUACGUUCAUGCAUAUGUGUGAUUUAUCACGAACUAGUGUGCUCCACAUCUGCCUAGUUGUAGCUAGUAGCACUACUCGGCCUGAUUGAUGAAUAUAACUAACCAAUAGAGAUAUCGAUGAUGCAGGACUGUCUGAUUUGGAUUCCAAUCUAUCUCUCCAUCUGGCCACAUAUAUGGACGUAUCACCAUCGAUGCAAUUAAUUAACUAGUUAGUUGUACCAACGUACCAUAUAUAGUGGUUGAGAGCAAUUGAGCGGCACGAUAGAAUAUGGAAAAUGUUUGCUUUAAACCGGUUGAUUUUCUGGCUCUGUAAGCCGCCUCGUACGCGCGCCACGUGCCCCACUCAGCCACCGCUUUCAUCCCCACCUUAUCCCCUCGGACGCUCUCUCUUCCGCUCAUUCCACUUCUCAUCUUCUUCCUUCUUUUUUCCCCUCUCUCUCAUUUGCAACUCUGACCGACGAGCGAACACUGAAAACUAUCAGUUCGCGUGGGCUGCUGCCACCUGCUGCUUUUGCAAGGAAGAGGCAACGCCGGCCAAUUCCACAUAUCAUUGCGUGCUGCAUGGCGAAGCUCCCGCGCGCCACAGGGAGGGCUGCAAUGGCGGCCGCUUGUACUACAGACGACGAAGCAUCCGCCAUCGCCAUCGUCACCGCCGCGUGCUGCGUCGCGGCAUUCCCGUUGCCGCCAUGCUGUGUCGCAGCAUACACUCGUCGCCGCCGCGCCGGUGAAGCUUCGCCGAGCCAUUAGGUGCUGUGAUUUCGACGGGGGAAGCCGGUGCCGCGAUGGAGCACCAACCCGCGGUGGUGCCGUUGCAGUGAAGCUCCGCCGGCGGCGCUGUCGCGGUGCUACAAUGGAGCCGGCCGCGCGCCGGUGAUGGCCCUGUGCAGUGAAGCUUCGCCGAGCCACGGGGUGCUGCGAUGGAGUUUGGACGGGGCCAGCCGGUGCCGUGAGGGAGCACCAACGCGCGGUGGUGCCGUUGCAGUGAAGCUCCACCGGCGGAGCCGUUGCGGUGCUGCAAUGGAGCCUGCCGCGUCGUCGCGGUGCUGAGGUGAAACAUCGUCGAGACCAUUGUGUGCUGCAUGGAGCAUCGAUGGCGUUGCAGUGAAGCAUCACCGGGAGCGCCGCCGUGUCGGGACGACGGCACUUCGAUGGAGCUUCGCGGGGGGCGGUGUUUCUAUGAAGCUUCGUCGAGGUCAUUUAGUGUUGCAAUGGAGCUUCGCUGGGGUGCCACCAGUGCUGCAAUGGGCUUCACGGGGCCGCCGAGGUUGCCAUGAAACUUCGUCGAGCGGCCGAUGUUUCAAUGGAGCAUCGCCGGCGGCGUUGGGUGCUGCCAUGGAGCGCCGCCGUGUCAAUGUUUGUCGCUUCAGUGAAGCGUUGCCGGCUGCUCCGGGUGUUGCGAGAUCGAAGGAGAGAAGGGGUUUGUUGUGCGAUGUGAGGAGAAGAUCGGGUGCGCAUUGACCAUUCAAACCGGUUAACAGAAGGGAUCCAACGGUGCGAUCUGGCUGAUCAAACAGCCAGGGAGGCGACUUAAAUAUCGUUAGCAUCAGCCGGUUGAUUUGUAGUACUGGAACGUAAACAUGGCAUGGUCGUCAUGCUAAAGACCUUUUUUUUCUUGUGGGUCUUGAUCAGACACUCGGGUGUAACCGUGUAAAGGGCGCAUUGUUUUGGCUGUCGGAAGCAUUUGCUUCUCAGAUGAACAGUAAAAUUGAAAUCAAUAAGAGAAUAUUGAUUUUUACAUGUUCAUGUUGUGUCCAAAGCGAGCUUUGACAAUUUUCAUGCACAACAGAACAAUAGUGUUUCAUCUGGGGAAAAAGCCCAAUGGUCUAGAAAUACCAAAAUUUUGGCACCAACUUGUUUUUUUUAUGUUUGCACUUUGCACUGAUUGAAAUGAUUGGGCUUUCCACCUAAACGUGAGCAGAUAACAUUUGUACAUGAACAUGUCAAAGAAUCAUUUUUUUACGGAACCUCGUCAGAGGGCUAGGUGCUCUGGCUUUGCAUUAUAGAAAAAGAGAGUUGAUCCAGUUUAUGAGGGAAACCAGAUCGAAAACCUAACAGAGUGGACCAGUUUAUGAGGAAAACCAGACCGAAAAACCGCACACGCAACGAACCCUUGCCGACCACAUGACCCAAGGCAACAUUGCAACAAACACACACCCCCGACUCCGGAGCCGCCGCUCCGACACCCCCCGCCCGCACGCGAGCCACAAUGCCGCGCGGUUCAAGCGCCUCGUAGCCCUUGCUACAUGAGACGACCGCCCGCAGACCAUGAACGUUGUACCAUACAUCUGGGGCCGCCGCCCCGACUUCCAGCCAGACCGACCCCACAGAUCGCGUCGACCGAGCCGACGAACUGGCCACCCUCGCAGCACCAGGUCGCCGCCCAUGCCAAGCAAAGCAGCGGACCUACCCCAUAGGACCGCCGUUGCAUGACCGUCCGAGGCCGCCGCCUCGGCAUACAUCCACCGUCCGGAGCCGCCGCUCCGGCAUCCACCGUCUCGGCAUACCACCAGAAGCACAAAAGCCACAAGCGCCAACCGAACCUCGCCUCCAAAGAUGGCGCCUCCAAGAAAGAAAAUGACGUCCAAGAAGACGCCGCCGCCAUCCAAUCCAGCAAACUAAAUCUAGGUUUUCACCCGGAAGACGAGGUUCCUUUGGUUGGAGGCGGGUCGGGGCUCCUCGACGAUGCCAUCAAAAUGGAAACGGCGCCACAGAGCGCCGCCGUCACCGGCACCGAUCAAGUCGGGCAGAAACUUUCGUCCAGAGCCCCACGACAACCACCAUCACCGUACUGCCGCGAGGACAGCCCACCGCGCCGCAGCCCUUGACACAUACAGGGAGCCACCACCCUCACCGGAAGCACCAGCGGCCAUGCCACACGACACCGACCCGGAGCCGCCGCCAACAGCCAUGACCACCUCUCCACUGCUCGCACGGCCGGAGCUGGCAGAGCACACACCGCCCCGGAGGCCAGGGACCGCUCCCCGCGACCGCCGCAGCACAUCCACCUACGCGGCGCCGCCGCGCCGCCAUCCAGGAGCUGCAGCACGCCGCCACCACCACAGCUCAACCAGCCGGACGUGCAGCCGGAGCCACACGCAUGGGCAGCCCCACCGACGGUUCCAGCCUCCUGGCGCCAGAUCCGCGGCGGCCGGCCCAGCACCGCCCCACACGACCCACAGGGAGGGAGGAGAGGAGAGAACGGCGCCGCCACCAUGCCCGGGGCCGACGCCAGUCGCCUCGCAUCGUCCAGGGCCACCGCUACGCGUCUCGCGAGGAGAAGUCCCCGCCGUCGCCGAACACCGAGCGGGCUUUGCCUGUCGGAUUCACCUGGCGGCGGCGAGGGGAGCUGGGGUGGAGGUGGGGAAAACGGGGGCGGCGGCGGCUAGGUUUCACCCGUGCCGCCCCCCGGGAGCGACGCGAGAGACACUGUAUGUUUUGCAUUUGCAAUAACAUUUUGGCGUGUAGGAGCAAAUGCUCCUCAGAGCUAAAUUGGUAUUCGUUUGUCAAUGACAUCUCUUUAGAAAGAAAAAUGAUUUGGGUACGUCAUCAACUGCAAUAUUCCAUUGUAGUUUUAAGCCAAGAUGUGCCAACUCAUGAUGCUGAGAAAUUUACUUGCGACUUUUUCAGUUUGGUCUAAAUAUAGAUACAAUGUAACUCAAAUUUCUGUAUCCUCUUUUUCCAGAAAAGACAGUAAUAUAGUCUUCCCGAAGCUUGACUUGUCUUUGCAGUCAAAUUAGUAGCUGGCCUGGUCCUACCACGUAUUCUCUUACAUCACUAUAUAGAACGGUGAAAAAUAAACAUUGCGGUCAAGAGGAAGACUGACCAAGCCAUUUAAAGAGCAUCGAAGGCUCAGCGCUAUGUAAAGUACAACUCCGGUACUAGGAUGAUUGAAGGCCUAGUGGAUUGCAUGUUCACCCAAUCGAGUAGAACUCAUACUCGAUUUCUCUGGAAUGUCGGUAGUAUAAAUUUCCCCUGGCUCCCAAGCUCGAGCUCAUGGCCAUAGAAUAGAUAGAACAUUGUGCUGUGAACAAGAAAAAAUUAGCACACAAGUUUGGGUCAUAUAACUUGAAAAGAAAGUCCACUAGUUUAUGGCUCCUAGCCGAGAACGGCAUUUUGGAGCUCCAUGGAGGCUGAUUUAAAAAUAAUGCAAAAUUCAUUUUUUUUUGUUUCAAAAAAUCUGAAAAGAAUUCUACAACUACACAAGGAUGUGAUGUGAUGUGUAUGUGUGUAAAAUUUAGAAUGGAAUACCUUGAGAUGCGAUCUGUGCAAAAAGAACAAAUUUAUGGACUUUAGGGAUGAAUAGUAUCAUGUGUUGAAAAGCCACAAAUUUGUCUUUUUUGCACAACCUUCAUUUCAACGUAUUUCGUCUUGAAAAUCUGCACACAUGUGUGUUAUGCCUCCAUAUAUGUCUGUAUUUUUUUUCAUAAUUUUUUAAAUAUAAAAAUAUGAAUUUUGUUGAAGUUUGAAUUUGUCAAAAAACCGGCCUGCAUGGAGGCCGAGCUCCAAAAGCAAUUUUUGCUCCUAGCCUUGCCUCACCUUCUUUAUUUUGGCCAAAAGCUCGUACGUAUUGCUGCACAUGACUUUAGUAGUCUGCCGGUUCUUAGAGCAUCUCCGGCCGUUGGCCCCUCGGGAGGCGCUAAAAAUCGCCCCCUAAGACGCACCGGCGAUAAACCACGCGUUGGGGUGUGAUGCCUCCCAGUCGCGGCGCCCACGGUUUUUUAAAUAUAAAUUACGGCACAAACACGGCGCAAAUUCAACCAAACUUCGGCGAGUUCGUUCAUAUUUAAAAUAUUUUACAAAAAGAAAAAAAAAGCUACUAGGCUGCUCCUCGCCGUCUCCCUCGCCGCUCCUCGCCGGCCGCCGUCCUUGCAGUUCUACAUGCCGAGGAGGCUGUAGAACCGCGUGUAGUCGCCGCCGCCGCCGUCGUCGUCGUCGUCGCCGCCCCCGCCACGGCCGCCGUCCCUGCUGCAACCCUCCCCCGGUUAGCGCGGCGGGCUGGACGGUCCGGGGGCGUCCUCGUCGUUGUCGCUGUCGAGGAUCACGACGCCGUGCUCGUCCUCGCGCCCACGUUUGCGGGUGGCUAUCUCCUCCAGGGCCCGGCGCUGCCGGACCAUCUCGUCGCGGAGGUAGUCGUCCCGCGCCCACUGCAGGGCGUCCUCGUCGGAGAUGCCGCGCCGGGCUAUCUCCUCGUACUCCGCAGGGAGGCCGGGCUCCGGCUUGGGCGCAACGAGGACGAGGCGGCCAGAGGCGGGGUGGAGUCGUCGAGGCAGACGCCGGAGCUGCAGGUGCGCCGGCUGACAGGCGUGUCCUGGGGCUCCGGCUUGACGGGGCGGAGGCAGUGAAAGCCGGUCGACCGACCUGACGAGGAGGAGGACGCCCCGGGGUCCAUGCGCCUCGGCGUCCACGAGCUCCCACGGCGGCGAGAGAAGGANNNNNNNNNNNNNNNNNNNNNNNNNNNNNNNNNNNNNNNNNNNNNNNNNNNNNNNNNNNNNNNNNNNNNNNNNNNNNNNNNNNNNNNNNNNNNNNNNNNNNNNNNNNNNNNNNNNNNNNNNNNNNNNNNNNNNNNNNNNNNNNNNNNNNNNNNNNNNNNNNNNNNNNNNNNNNNNNNNNNNNNNNNNNNNNNNNNNNNNNNNNNNNNNNNNNNNNNNNNNNNNNNNNNNNNNNNNNNNNNNNNNNNNNNNNNNNNNNNNNNNNNNNNNNNNNNNNNNNNNNNNNNNNNNNNNNNNNNNNNNNNNNNNNNNNNNNNNNNNNNNNNNNNNNNNNNNCGGUGUGUUGCCGCCCUCGAUGUACUUGAGGACGGCCUCCAGCGUGCGGCCGGCACGCCCCACCAUCGGCGCCGCCCCUCAGAGUUUAGCCUGCCGGAGGGCACGACGCCGUUGGUGGCCUCGAGCUGCUCGGCGUGGCGGCGGCGGAAAUAUGGCUCCCAGAGCGGGUUGUCGGGGACGUAGCGUGGCCCCUCCCUCGCCGCCCGCGGCAGGGAGGCGCGGAUACGCGCGAUCUCCGCACGCCGCGCCGCCCCGGUGGGCGGUGGUGGCACUGGGACCCCGCCGGCGCUGAUUCUCCACGCCCCGGGCACCCGCAUGUCCGGCGAGACCGGGUACUCAGCCUCGAAGAGGAGCCGAGCUUCGUCCUCGUGAAGGUGGCGGCGGCCGAAGCCGUUCGCCGCCGCGCCGUCGCCUGGGAAGCGUUCGGCCAUUUUUUGAGCUGGAGACGGCGAGAGGAGAGGGAGGAAGGGGGAGAAAGGUGGCGUCGGCGGUGGAGACUCUGUGCGUGCCACCGGCGCGCUGGGGGUCGGCUUUAUGUAGGCGGAGGCGCCACGCGUACGCGUGGCAUGCGAGGGGACGCGCGUCAUCUCGUUUUCACUGCGCUGCCCGUGAGGCAUCAAUGGCGGAGGCUGACCGGCGCGGCAGCGCGCAGCAGUUUUGGUAUUGAUUCACCACGGAAAACGAGGCGAUGAGGACGACGAAGCGGCGAGAAGCGAGACGAGUCGCUGGCAAGGAGGAUCCGCGGCUCUUUCGCGCCAAAAACGAUUCGCCCGGCGCCCCCGAGCGCCCCCCAGCGCGUCGGGUUCGGGUUGGGUCCGCCGGCGCCAAUUUCGGCCUGAGCCGGCGAAAAAUGGGCCCUUGGGGGCGCGACUGGGCCGAUUUUUCGGCGCCGGCGGCCGAAAAGUCGCCUGGGGGCCUUGUUGGGGGCGCGGCUGGAGAUGCUCUUACAACCUACAGUUUUGAAGGCCAAAACCCUUAAAGUUUUCACGCCAGCAACUAUUUUGCCCUAACUCUCUCAUUUUAUUUACUCCAAGAAAAAGAUGAGAUAUACCAUAUCUUGCAAUUAUCAAGAACCUGCAACACACUCAGAGUAGGUAUACACUCACUACCAGAAUUUGCUAGUCUACCGAGUGCCCCAAACACUCAUUGAAACCAAGGUUUUGGAUACCAGAUGAAAAAAAAAUAUCUUGUGGGACACCGAGAUUUUUAGUAACCGCCGUAACCAACAAAGAGAAUACCGAUCGGUUACGGAACGAAAUUUUUGAAUGAAUUUUGUGUCCGGAUAAAAUUAAUCCAAUAUUCAGUUUAGUUAAAUUUUAUUUAAAUUAAAAAAUUCAGGAUAUUUUGUUAGUAAGGUGAUUUCUCAUGGGGCACCGAGAUCUGCGGUUACCGCCUGGUCACCGAAUUCUUCCGGCGGUUACCAAAACUCUGGUUGAAACUUGAGACCGUUGAAAAAAUAGCGCGCUAUAGUGUCGUUAAUAGCAUGCUAUAACGUUCUGAGAAAUGCAUCGUUAAAUAAAUCAGUAUACAAUGUCUCACUAAUAGCACGCUAUAGUACGAUAUAGCACACUAAUAGCAUAUUUGAAGGGCCACGCUAUUUUGUCAUAGCACACUAUUUUUUCCAUUGGUUGAAACUAGUGAAACACUUGGGACAAUCUUUCCCAUGGUUGACACUCGGGGCGAAACAUUCGACCCCAGCAUAUAGAUGGCGCAUCGGUGGAGCUGAGCGGAAUUUCCAUUCAAUGGGUGGAAAUUUCUUCUUUAGUAUUUCGAGCCCAUUACUUGAGCCGUAUGACCUUGAAGAAAUGGCAGAUAGGGCAGGAGCAUUGAGAAGCACACAUGGUUAGCAGCAUAUGGGUAUCUUGAGCUAUAGAUGGCGCAUCGGUGGAGCUGAGCACCAUGAGAACAAUACUUGCAAGAGAUUUACACAAACAUAAAUCCCAUGUUUAAAUAUAUAAUUCAUUUAUUUCACUUUGAAGGUAAAUAGUUUAUAAUUAAAGAUCUGUUCAUCCAGCGAACAUGAGAGAACAAUCUUGCUUCCCAAUAUUAUUUGAGGAUGGUAUACAUACUUUCAAGAGAUUAGCGCAGACAUAAAUCACUAACUUCUUUCGCAAAAAAUAAAAAUAAAUCACUAACUUAAAUUGAUGCUCCAUUUAUUUAAUUUUAAGGGUAAAUAAUUUAUAAUUAAAGUUUUGUCCAUCCGUACUUUUAAGUUUGACACAUGGCAUUCAGUAACCAUCAAAAUAUUGAACACAUAACAUACAUCUAAUAAAGUGUCACCAUUGACGGCAUCCCACAACGUCAGUGAAUUUUUUUAGAAAUGAAGGAUGUACCCCCGGCCUCUGCAUCUGAACGAUGCAUGCAGCCAUAUUAUUAAUUAUUCACAAAGAUCAUACAAGGUGAUACAUCAAUAAGCCUGAAGCCACCAACUUGGCAACGCUGUUGCUACACCUAUCUCGUUGACGAAGGCGUGCCGAAUGUCCGGGCCUAAUACCAAACAGACAUCGCACCAAAACCUAACAUCUAAAGCCGGGUGUCCCAUCCAAGCCACUACCUGGAUUGGGGCACACAUCGGUCCGGCACACUCCCAGUAAACACCGCAUGCUGCAAGGGCCGUCAGCUCCAUCUUCCAUCGCUCCAUCCUUGAAGCAGAACUAAUGCACCCAAAGCUUCAGCUUUUUGUGCAAAGCCACUCACAAGCCUCCACCUAGCCCGUGAGACCGUAGUCAGUGGUCACUCGCCGUCGGCUAUGCAUGACCUGAAUGUAGGUGCUACAUCCACCUCUGACUGGGGUGGGCUUGUGACACGUUAUCGGCAACCUAUUAGCGUCGUCGUUUGUAUGUCACCAUUGAUGGCUUUUCAGCAGCCCAUUAGCGCUUAUCUAGACCACUGAUGUGCUGAUCACAACCAGGAAGUGAUGACACAUGUGAGUUGUCGUUUUUUUGUAGUAGUGACUAGUGAGAUCUAUCCUUGCUCAGAUCAGAUGAUAUCAAAGAGUGAGGUCCGGAUGGAAGGCAACGGUGGCUAGUUUCAUUUGGUGCAGUUUGACUUUGAUGCGAUGCAUCACUCAAAACAGAAAAUUCUUUAUCUGAAACUUGUGUCUUGCAAUUUUUAGUUUGAGCUAGUUGUAAGCAAGAUAAGUCAUGCAAAAUCGUCCAGACCUAGAUUAUAGACUAGGAAGAUAUUCCAGAUCUGAAUAAUGAAGGUAAAAUUAGUUGCCAAGCAACAGAAAUACAUCACUCCAUUCGGCAUUAUCCUCAACUUCAUUUUAUCUGUAUCUUUGUUCUGGUAUAAUAAGAACCAUCAAAGUACUUGGCAUAGUACUACUUAUCAAAUAGUAUCUGAUGCAAGGAUUAAUGACAACAAGCAUGGUGUAUGGCCAAUAGGAUGAGUGGGGGUUGACAAUGUCUGCAAGAAGUGUGGUCGAAGCCCGGAAGACAGCCACUCAUACGUCUAAGGUGCACACUGUUUUGGCGCCCCUGGAGAACAUUUUUGCUACCGAGAUGAACAGUAAAUUCAAAACCAAUAUCAAAAUAUUUUGCUAUUUUUAAAUGUCCAUGUUGGUAUCCAAAUCGUGCUUGACAAUUUUAAUGUGCAACGAACAAUACUGUUUCAUCAUAAAAAAAGUCCGGUGGACUAGAAAGGUCAAAAUUUUGGCAUUCAACUUUUUUGUUUGCACAGAUUGAAAAUUUCAAUUGUUUGGCCUUUUCCCCUAAACAUGUGCAGAUAACAUUUUUACAUGAACAUGUCUAAAAUAAUCAUAAGUUUUACACUGGCAGUAACAUUUCUGGCGCGUACGAGCAAAUGUUCCCCAGAGCUGAAUUGGAAUCCGUAUGUCAAAGACAUCUCUAUAGAAAGAAAAAUAAGUUGGAUAGGUGAUCAACUGCAAUAUUCCAUAGUAGUUUUAAGCCAAAAAAAAAUUGCAUGGAGUUUUAAGCCAAUAUGUGCCAACUCAUGAUGCUGAAAAUUUACAUGCUACUUUUUCAGUGUGGUAUAAUUGUAGAUACAAUGUAACUGAAAUUUCCGUAGCUGGCCUUACAUCACUACGUUACGUAGAAUGGUGAAAAAUAAACAUGUACCCUAUAUGUUGCGAUCAAGAGGAAGGCUGAUUGGAUGUACAUGCAAUCCGCUGAGGCCCGUCUAUGGCAAGUAGAAGUCAUACACUUUUCUCAGGCUUGUCGGUCUUAUAAAUUCCCCAUGCCUUCCAAGCCGAGCUCAUGGCCACAAAAUAGACAGCAUUGUGAUGUGAACAAGGACAAACAAUAGCACGCAUGUUUACGUCGUGACUUGACAAGAAAAUUCUCUAGUAUAUGGUUCCUAGCCUUUUUUAUUUUGGCAAAAGGGCUCCUACUUAUUGCUGAACAUGGCUUUAAGUAGUCCAACAUUCUUAUAACCUAAAGUUUUGAAGUCCAAAAAACAUUAGGUGAAUGCACUUUCGUGUCAAGUGAACAAUUAUAUACUCUAUACAUAUACACAGGAACAUGAUAUAAAUUAACCAUCAAAAUAGUUAACCCAUAACAUACNNNNNNNNNNNNNNNNNNNNNNNNNNNNNNNNNNNNNNNNNNNNNNNNNNNNNNNNNNNNNNNNNNNNNNNNNNNNNNNNNNNNNNNNNNNNNNNNNNNNNNNNNNNNNNNNNNNNNNNNNNNNNNNNNNNNNNNNNNNNNNNNNNNNNNNNNNNNNNNNNNNNNNNNNNNNNNNNNNNNNNNNNNNNNNNNNNNNNNNNNNNNNNNNNNNNNNNNNNNNNNNNNNNNNNNNNNNNNNNNNNNAUUUUAAAGUGUUUUUUCAGAGUUUAUUUAAGGUAUGUAUCCUGCUCAGAAAGGACAGGCGGCGGCCUGUAGACUUAAUAAGGUUCUCCCUGCCUAGCCCCCAUCCCGGUGCGUCCAACGUCGGAGGGAAUGUGGAGCUGUGUCUCCGGUGAUCCCGGGAUUCGGUAGGUGUUUGUCUUCGGUUUGUGUGCUUGGGUCUGGCCUUCAUUUGUCUUUGUUUGUGUGCUACAUGUUGGAUCCUUCCAAUCUACGCUUCUCUUCAUGAAGACGGUUAUUGUUCCGGUGCGUUGGUCAUCGGGACCUUACCAUGACGACUUUCCGACUAUCUACUACAACAAGGUUUGUCUGGCUCUGGUGACACGGUGGUGUGCCUUCAGCUGGUUUCGGUUCUUGUAGUCGUCGGUUUGCCUGCCUUGGGUUCUUGUAGUCGCCUUUAUCUAUAUUCAGUCAAAAAAACAUUUUACCUAUAUUAAUAACAAUCAAACACCUGAUGCAAGGAUUAAUGAUAACAAAGCAGGGUGUGAAUCGACUGAACAGCUCAACUAGUACAUGAGAUGACUGACUGACUCUGUGGAUCAUCAGUAGCCCUGUCAAAUAUUCAGGUCUUAAUGUUCGUAGCACCUUCCAGUUCAGCCUAUCAAUUAGGCAUGUAAAUAUUCUAACGGUUCCUGCUUCUGCUUGUACAUUCGGUCGUGCUGCUUAUUUGCUUUGCAAAAUGUGUCAUGUGAGUACCGGUCAAUAGGCUAAUCCAGAUGUGCAACACGAAAAGAACCUAGCAUAUGCGACAUCCAUUUUGAUGGCUGCUAAAGAUUUGCAUUCUGCAAGUAUGAUCGUCUGUUUCUGCACAUCAUGAAUUCCCGCUGCCUCCCAAGCCGCACCAUGAACAUGCAAAGAGACCAUAUACACCCAGUAUUUGUAUGAACCAGACACUCAUGCGUGGAGUACCAUAUACUAGUGUGCUCCACCUCUGCAUAGCCAUAGCUAGUAACACUACUCGACCUAUUGAGAUAUCAACGAUAUAUGGUUGUCCGAUUUGGGCUCCAAAUUCUCUUGAUCUGGGCACAUAUAUGGAGAUAUCACCAUCAAUGUGAUAAUUACUAACUCGCUAGUAGUACCAUGUAGUAGUUGGGAGCAAUUGAGUUGCAUGAGAGUAAAUCGCAGGGUUGUCCACUCCUAACAUUGCAUGCAUGCAUGUAUGUAAAGUGUAAACGAGGCAUGUUCAUGCUGAAGUCUAGAAGCCUCUGAGCCUAAGACUUUUUUUUUCUCAUUUGCCUUGCGGGAGGCCUCACUGCCUGAUCAGAAAUGCGGGAUAUUACUGUAAAUGGAGAAGUGAGUUGAAGACUUGGUCAACUGCAAAAUUCAAGUAUAGUUUGAAGCCAAUACGUGCCAACUCAUGAUAUUUAGAAUUUACAUGCUACUUGCCAAAGUCAAAUUAGUAGCCGAAUUGGUCGCACUAGGUAUUCCCUUACGUCAUUACACAUAAAGGUAAAAAAUGAGCAUGUACAGUAGGAGGCGGAGUGUGACAACAAAGUAGGGAGGGGCUAAUUGGUAUGCCCUAGUAGCACAUGCCAAAUAAGCAAAUUAUCUCACAUGGACCACCAUUUACUGAUUUUAUUGGGGCUAAUACCUAUGUUUUCGUGUUAGAAAGACCAUGCCGUGGCCCGGUAUGGUCCUUAGGAAGCUCCGCCCUAACAGUACAAUGUUACCAAUCCAUUUAAAGAGUAUCGAAGGCUGGGAGCCAUGUCAAGUGGAACUCUGGUUCUAAGAUGAGCAUGCAUUCCACGGGAGCCUGAGAUUGAAAAGAUAGAAACAAAUGAAGAUCGAACGGCAGGAAAUAGCUCUUCCCCGGAGGCCCUGAGAGGGCUCUUGAUUGACCAGCCUUACAUGUUUGUGGAGACUUGUAAACAUCAAUGCAAGUGUUCCAAACUCGACAUCGGCUACAUACAUUUAUGGGGCCGACUAUUACACAUUGGCUUGUAAAAACGUUAGUUUCACUCAAAUUGCUCUCCACGGUCGGAUCAUUACCGUUGGCCCCCUAAUUCCGGUUGCAACCUAUCAUUCAGGCUUUAGAAACCACUGAGGCAAAACUGCUCAAGAUGGUGCGCUGAGUAUCAGAGUAAAUGGAUUCAGGUGACCAACGAAUUUUACGUGCCACGUACCUAUAUCUGUAUAUAUAGGUACUCGAUCAACUCGUCUAUAUAUGAACCCAAUGGAAAUUCAAAGCUGAACCCAUCAAAGUCAGAACGCACCAGCCAAAAGCCUAAUCCAUAGAAGUUUAGAGCAUCUCCAAUAAUAGAUCACCCUAAAAAAAUCUCCAAUAAUAGCCCUAAAUUUUAGCCAAAAACCUAGAAACAUAAAUUUUGAAAACGGCUCGUCUCCGACUUCGUCAGUCUCAAGAUGAGGUUCCAGCUCAGUCAACCGGAGGUGCUCAUAGGGAUAAGGUGUGGGUGUGUGCGUUCAUAAAGAUGUGUGUAUGUACGUAUGUAUGAGCGUCUACGUCUGUAUACCAUGUUAACAAAAAAUACAUAUAUGUUAGACUACGAGAGGCCAAAAAAAUUAGUUAGCCACCCAUAUUUUGCUACCAAGGAUCCAUAUUUGGUUCCAACCUACCACACAUCAAAAGGACCAAAAAACAACUAUGGGAAAGCUAACCACCUGCGCGAGAACAUUCCACCCGCCGUGACCGCUCUGGACGUCGAGAUGCCAUGGAAGGCAUCCCCGCGGCCACCGCUGCCAGCUUCCCUUGUUGUCGUCGCUCCCGUGGUCACCACUGCUACCGGGCCAAAGACAAAGGCCGUUUGCCGCCUAGGGCUUUUGCAUCCACCAACCAUCGUCGCCAUUGUAACACUGAAGGACGCCGCCAUCCACUGCCAAGGGUGCCACGCAGAGAGCAAACUCGCUGGGAAGCAUCCGUCGCGGGAUACAACAGUUGUGGAUGCGGCCAGCAUGAAGAAGAAGGCGGGGACGCCCCCACCACCGGUGAUCCCUACACCUCCCCUCCCACCGCCUCCCGAGGUCGAGUUGGCGCCUCCGAUUUCCAAGGUCGUCGGCGUCCCCAACUUGUUCGGUCAAAUGACCGAGGUAAAAAAGAUUAUUCUGUUGUUUCACUGAAUUCCAUGUGUUAUUUCAUUGUAUGCAAUUGUGAUGUGAUAUGUGUGUAUUUUGUUCAAAUUUGAUGUUUGUAGUAUGGAUGAUGACACUUUUUGCAAUAUAGUUGUGCUGCAUCGGAAUAUCCAUCACAAAAUUUUCCAUCUCAAGAAAAUGCAUCGCAAGAAGAGCGUGUUCUUGACAUGGAAGAGAAAUGAGUUGUUGCUCCAACUCCACAUACUACGGGGAGAGGAGCAAAUUACACUACCAAAGAAUACAAGUUGUUCUGUGAGCAUGAAAGAAAAUUGGUCUGUAUCCGGUCAUCGGUGUUCAACAACAAAGUUCGAGCUACGGGGAGUGUAUCUAUGACUACUUCAAGGCCACCAACAAGGGUGACAUCAUCUAUCACAAGUUUCGGUCCCACAGCGAUGGCAAAAUAUAUCUAUGUAGUGUCCAAAGUGGUCGGCAUGUGUGGCAAAAGUUGAUUGUCUCAAUCCAAGUGGUACAAAUACCGAUGAUAAGGUCAUUGCUAUUUUCAUGGAUCAAUUAUUUCACCAUCUCUUAUAUGCAUUGGUAGAUUAAAAGAAUUCGCACUCGUGGUAUGUAGAUUAACAUUGCUUAAUAAUUGUACAAGGGCAAAGAAAAGAAGAAAGCUGCAAAGAAAGGUAUGGAAUUUAGUUUGCAACAUUGUUGGGUGGAUCUUUGAAAUGAGGAGAAGUGGAAGAACCGCCUCAUCAAUAAAAUUACAAAUAAUAAGAAGUCACAUAGAUCAGCUGGAGAUGCUUUACAAGUUGACACCAAUGAUGAUGCAUCAAGUGAUGAGUAGGGGAAAAUAAGCCCCACUCCCAACUCGGUUGCUACUAAGAGGCCUGAUGGGAGGAAGAGGCAAGGAGAAGUUGUGAAAGGAAGGAGACAAUGACGACAAGGAAUCAUUGGAAAACAUGAUGGCAAUAUGAAAUGAGAGGGCCACGGAAAGGGCCAACUUGAGGACCAAAGAAAUGGAGGAGAGGAAGGAGGCCCAGGAGAGGAGAAUGGCGGCUGGGGAGAGGAGCUCCAUGGUUGAGGAGAGGAAGGCAACCUACGAUGAAAGAAUCAAGAGCUUGGAAAAUGAGCAAAAGCUCGUGUUCAUGGAUCCCAAGUGUUCUUGAUGAUAAGGGAGAGCAUACUUUUAGCUUAUGUGUGAUCCAGUGUUGGCGACAAGGCCUAUGGGAGGCCCGCGGGAGGAUCAAUGGGAGGAUUUGGAGGCGUGAGUGUCAUGGGUGGCAUGAGAGGCAUGGGUGACAUGGGUGGCUAUGGUGGCGUGGGAGAUAAUGCAAGCACUACUGAUGGCAAUGGGGACAAUGACAUUUGUGAUCUCUGUACAUUUAUGUUCUAUGCACUUCUAUUUGUGUUUGUGAUGCACAAUGAUUGCGGUCUUAGGCUUAAAUUUGAACUUCAAUUUAAAAUAUUGUGGACUUGAACAUGGAUUGAAAAUAUUGUCGAUUAUGUGUGUUGUGAAGUUGAAAAGUUUUAAUUAUCAUGCCAUGGUUUGUUUGGAUUAUACAUGCAUUUGUGGGACAGAGAAGAAGAAGACCAAAAUAUGGGUAUCCAGUUUUCAGUAUAAUGUAAAAGCAAAGAAAAUCUUGGAUAUCCAAAUAUUCUUUCCUUUAUCUAAAAUAGAUUUGAAUAGCCAAGAUUUGGGCCUGCUAUUGGAGAUGCUCUUAUAACAUGAAUAGCCCAACCAAAAACAAGCUGGGGAAUUAGAUGAUCUGCCCCAAUAUUGUUUCAAUGAUGAGUGGUCCCAGCCCCACGAGCCAAUCUCAAGGAGGGGGCAAAUUUAAUCUUAAACAGUAAAGUGUGGGUUAAGAUCUAAUUUCUCAGAGCGAGUUCGAUUCCAUAAUUAAUAUUUCGUCUUGGAAGGAUUGAUACUACGAAGAAGAUGUCUCUAGGAGAUUUCAUUGUAAUUCUUAGUUGUAAGAAUUAUUUAAUAGUUUCUUGGAUUUUGUAUACAAAGCAUUAUACCUGUAAUAUUUGCGAAUAUAAAUAAAGCCAUGGGUACCUCUCUAAAGAAAGCAAUCGAUUUCAUCUCUCGUGUGUGACAAUUUGCACGCCUAUCCUACUCGCUUCGCCGACUCGAUAACUCCUCACACGGCAGGUCUCUCAUUCCCCAAUCGCCCGGUUUUCAAUACCAAGCCGACAAUGGCAGAUCGGCAGCAGCAAGCCGGUAAUUCAGCCUCAAGGUAGUAAAGAUCACAUCACAAUAUAUCCUCUCCUCUUCUGCAUGCAUGUCCUAUUUAGCUAGUACACAGUAUAGUAAUACUAUCGGCUCUAGUUUUCUAAUAUCCUGGGGAGGGAGGGGCGCGCGCCGCCCUACACAGUAUCACUACAAUAUCUAAGCUCCUUUGAAUUUAAGGGCUGUAAGCGCUCCGGGGCUAGGAGGGUCAAGUGACCACAUCACUUAUUUUCGUAGAAGAAACACUUAAAUUUUUUAGGAGAACCACGGUCUCUUACUAGGUGAGUAGAUAUUUUUUAAUACAAUACAGUCGAAAUCGCUCAUAUACACAAGCAUACACUUACCCUAUGAAUGCAUGCACGCGCGCCCUACCCAUAUGAGCUCUUUCAAGAAAUUGAGCCGACACAUUAUUUUGAGAUUGACAAGACCACCGUAGACGCCAUUGUAGUCGAUGGGAACAUCUCCUCCCACUGAACGCACAUCGCCAAAAGCCUGGAACAAAUCUAGAAAAAUGCGAGCACCAAUGUCAAGUCUGAGACUUGAACUCUGGUGAUCAGGGGAUACCAAUGUCCUCCUAACAAUCCAACAGUAGGUAUGGUUUAUUGUUUGGGUCAACCAUCCAACUACGUAUGUCCAACACUUGAUGGGUUACGUGUUGCUUAAUCCUUGAACUAAAACCACGGCAUUAUUUUUUAAUCAGAGGGGCAACUUUUAUGCAAGAAAAAAGGGUUACAUGUCGCUCAUGCACAUCUGGUACGAGGGAAAUUAAUGACGCGGCCAAUUAUAUCCAUGCCUAUCAAAGUGAUGUAUCAUCACACAACACAUGGUUACCGCUAGCUUGGUCCAUCGCUGCCUCCUCUGCGUCACAUGGUUGCAUGGGCGCCAUAAGUCCAUCACCACUCCUCAUGGCCCGCCCAUGUCUCCAUAUUUCUCCUUUCCCUCAUUUCGGCACACCCGAGCAAUCACCAUCUCCUCGCACCACACGGUUACACAGGCACCCGACCCAUCACCUGCUCCUCCCUGUCAUAUGGUUGCAUGGGUGCAGCCAGUCCAUCACCGCCUCCUCCGUUCCACACAAUUGCACGGGCGCCCGACCAACACCGCCUCCUCCGCACCACAAGCUUGCACGGGCUUUGCAUGUCGACCACCACGCCACACACCCCGCCUAUCGCCUCAUCUUUCUCCUCUUAUUUUGUGCGGUAAUUAACAUCCAACAACGAUGCUCGGGGCCUAGAGGAGUAGGUGACAAGGUAGGCCGCCACGGCUAGCAACGGCGUUGUACAUAGGCAACUGCCAUCUUUGGAACUUGGUCGCCUUCAUCGACACGCCAUGGUCCACAAGGUCUGCAGUACAACUCCCGAUACGUCCUUCCUCUUCCUCUGUCAUCCUUUCUUUGAUAGCCUGAUUCAAAUUCAAUCUUGCUCGCUUCGGGGCUAAACAAGUAGCAAAUUAUCUUAGAGUGUAAGGUUUCAAUUUGAAAGCCUCAUCCUGCACUGCUUGAGUACCAUGUCCGUGCUUGUGGAUUAACAACCUCGGGUAGUUUAUACAUUGCAUGCUUUAUACUGCCUUUGUUCCACAAUGCAGUGCAUAUUUGUUUUUUCAGAAGUCAAAAAAUGUCCAUGUUUGACCAAGUUUCUAGAAUAAACUAUCAGUAUCUAAAGUACUAAAUAAAUAAACUAUAAAAGUACAUGUGGAUGUUGAUUUUUUAAAAACUUGGUCAAACAUUGAUAGGCUUGACUUUUCAAAACAAAGUAUGUACUAUAUUUUAAAACGGAGGGAGUAUUAGUUAGCAUAUGGUUCCACGCCUAAGGAGCACAAUCUCUAACUGAACUUAAUUGGCACUAAAACAAUAAAACAAGAUGAUAACUAGGUUAUUCUGUGAAGAUAAUUUGGUUAAUUGUCACCGGGCCACUUAUGUACACAACUGAUCAGGCCUUAUUAAUGCAUCAAUAAUGUUGCAUUCAAAUGAAAGCUAAGAUCAAUCACUUGUACUAUUAUGUCUUGAUCCUCCCAUUUCCGUCUCUUCCUCUUAGAGGCCGCUAUAAACAUACUUCAUUCCCUUUCCUAUCGUUAGUCAGUGCGAAGCAUUGCUUUUAUUUCAAAUAUGUUCUUUCUGUUAUGAUUCUAACUACCCAUCUAAAUGAUCAAUAUCGAAAACCAGAAACCAUAUACUUUGGUGUUGUGUUGCAACUUCCAAGUAUUUCUCACUCCCACUACCAUUUUACUGUUAUUACAGACCAUUAUUGUUGGUGUUUAUCUGACCAAGCUAAGUUAUGAAAUAUCGGUUGGUCAAAUCCUAGAGCUGUAUGAUUGUUGUAGAUGUAUACUACAAUCAGAAGCCUCAGUUAUGCAUAUCAUAGUUUUGAAUUAGUUUUGCAGAUGAAUAUUAUUAUGUCCAUCCAGUACUAUGGUUUAACCAUGCAGGUCCGGGACAUGCCCAACCACUACUUUGGAUAUGUUUUUGACAGUGUUGUUAACACAUCAGUAACAAACAAACAAAUAAAUGGUAGAAAAGUAGAACAACGCGGCAAGGCGCGUGUAUGCUUCUAGUAGUAAUACUAUCAGCCCUAGUUUUCACGAGGUAGGGGCGCGUCUCUCCCUUGCGUCUCUCCCUCCUGCCCCGAAACCCUCGNNNNNNNNNNNNNNNNNNNNNNNNNNNNNNNNNNNNNNNNNNNNNNNNNNNNNNNNNNNNNNNNNNNNNNNNNNNNNNNNNNNNNNNNNNNNNNNNNNNNNNNNNNNNNNNNNNNNNNNNNNNNNNNNNNNNNNNNNNNNNNNNNNNNNNNNNNNNNNNNCCUCCCUUCCCCCCGGAUCCGCCCUCGCGCUGCCUCCCCGGUAGGCGACCGGGGCGGCGCGCGCCCCUCCCCUUCAGCCCCCUUCCUCCCCGCCUACCCCCGCCGCCGCCGGCAAGUGCCCCGGCUCUGGGCCCGGGUGGUGUCGGCGGCGGCGGGAUGUCCUCUUCCCGCGUGCGUGUCCUCCCUACCCGGGGUGGGGGGCGGCGGCGGCCCGGCGACCCGGCGGCGGGCGUGGUGGUGGCGCGGCUCCUUGGCGGCGGGGCGCCCCCGGCUCAGAUAUGGGCCCUUCGGGCCCCAUCUGGGUCCUAGCGUUUCGGCCCCUGGCGUGCCUUCGUUGUCCUCUGCGUGGUGAGGAGGAGGAGCGGCUUGGAUCGGGGGCGGCGACGCCGACGGCGUGCCGGCUGCAGCGUGAAGCCGGGAACUUUACGGGCCUCGGAGAUCCCGGCCGGGCCUGUGCGGCCACGGGCCUGGUAUGUUCCUACUAUUGCGUCCGGUCAGCUACCGUCGUUGAUGGUGGAGGUGGGGCCCUCCCGCAUGCCGAUGGUGCUGCUGCCCUAGUCCCGGCUCCUCUUCUUCAUUGUGCAGACCAUGCUUCGCGGUGCCGUGGUGAGACAAAGUGGGAAGCUUCAUGUCCGGGUUGGCGCUGGGUGGUGGUCGGUUUGGUGGCGAGCUCCGAAGUGCCUGAGGUGAAAGGUUGGGAUCGGGAGAAAUCCCUGUUAGCUUGGCCGACACCGACGCGGUGGCGCAUGAGGGUGCCGCCGGACCUUCCUGGAGGGCGUCGGGGCUACCCUUUCUCUCUCCUCUCAGCGUACCGGGAAAAACCCAGCAGCGUCGUCAUCGUCGUGUCCCUUCUUGGAGGUGUUAAUUGGUACCGGCGCUUCGGAGGCUCGGAACUUCGCGGGCGAGCUCCGGUGGAUGCAGCGGCCACGAGGUGCUUCCGCCCCAGCACCUAUCGUUGGUUGUCUCGGUUGGUUGCUUUGUAUACAAAGCGGGGGAAACCCUUUUUCGGUAAUAUCCUUUUUCCAAUCUUUGAUUGAUCCAAGUUAUGGGACGAUGCAUUUGCCAUAUAUAUUUUACACCAAGUGAAACAGAGUAUCCACACUGUUGAUUAGCUAUUGCGAGAACGUCAGUGGCAUCUGAGCACUCAGAGCUUCAACUUCUAUGUGCAAAGCCACUCACAUGCUUCCACCCAGCCUUUCGGUGUAGCCCAACCACUCGUUAGUGGUCACUCGCAAUCAGCUAUGUGUGACCCGAAUGUAGGUGCUGCAUCCACCUCUGGCUGGUUGGCUUUUAACUCCUCUGGUCGCCGCUUGUCUGUCACGGCUAAUGGCAUGCAAAAAAACCGUUAGCGAUGCUAUACACCACGUACAUGCUGAUCAGAACCAAUAAAUUGUGAAUUAUCAUGUAUACAUUUUUUGUAGUAGUAUGAUAUAUCCUCACUCGGACCAGAGGAGAUCAAAGAAAGAGCUUUGGAUGGAUGCCACAGCGAUGAGCUACUCUCAUUUGGUCCUGUUUGAUGCCAUGCAAUGCUUAAAAAUAUUAAUUGUUUGUCUGACAAUAGACUAAGAAGGCAUUCUAAACCUCAAAUGAAGGUAGCAUUAGUUGCCAAGUAGCAGAUUUGCAUCAUUCGGUCGACAUUACCCUCAAAAUUCAUUUUAUCUGUAUUUUUUAUAUAAAAAAUCAAAGCACUUGGCCAUAUUAGUAAUGAAGCACCUGGUGCAAGGAUUAACGACUGCAAAACAUGAUGUAAAUCUAUCGGAAGAGCUCAACGAGUAUCGUGGAUCAGUUUAUUAGAGUUAUUGUACUAUAUGUAUUGGGUAUAGAGUAGUACUCUAUCCCAAUACGUAUCCUCUUUGUAUACGCCACCACGGAGGCUCUUCCCGUAUAUAUAAACACGUAACCGGCUACCCCAAAGGGUACGUCCGUUCAACCCAAAAUCAACAUGGUAUCAGGCCCCUCCCUUCCCUCCCUCUAGCCGCCGCCUCUGGAGCUUCUCUCCGUCGCCGCCAGGACUUGGUCGCCGGUCUUCCCUGCCGACCUCACACCAACAACUUAGCCUCUACAGGAUCACGCCUACAAACACCACGCCCUUGAUCGCUUCGAUCGCCUUCAGGACAAUUCCAAUCUUCAACAACCCUCAAACACCCAAACCCUAGCCGAUCUCUGCCGCGACACAUCAUCCAUGGCGUCUUCGUCUUCCUCUGCUGGGGCGACCAUUGGUGCUCCCCCUGCCACAAAGCUCACGCGGGACAACUUCCUCUCGUGGCAAGCUCAAGUCCUUCCCACCCUCCGUGGAGCUCGCGUCAUGCGAUUGCUCGAAGGUUCUGAUCUGCCACCGCCUGAGUUCGUCGAUGGCGAAGAUGCUGACAAGGAGAAGAUCCAGAUUCCCAAUCCUGCCUAUGAUGUCUGGAUCACGCGGGAUCAACAGGUCGUAAGCUACAUCGUCAACUCUCUGUCUGAAGAUAUUCUCUCUCAUAUCUAUGGUAUGGUUCAUGCGGCUGAAGUUUGGCAUGCUAUCCACGAGCUGUUUUCUUCUCAGUCCAAAUCACGGGUUUCGGCAUGCUAUCCACGAGCUGUUUUCUUCUCAGUCCAAAUCACGGGUUUCCAACAUCCGUGGUGCACUCAUCAACACAAAGAAACUUGAUAUGACAGCCCAACAAUAUAUCACCAAGAUGAAAGGUUUUGCUUCUGAACUUGCUACUGCGGGAAAGAUUGUUGAUGAUGAUGAACUCAAGGAUUAUAUCAUGAAUGGACUUGAUAGUUCCUAUAAUGGUUUUGUUGCUGCUCUCAAAGUUGUUCCCUCCACAUCUCUCAAUGACAUGUGCUCUCAGCUGCUGUCUUACGAAAGCCGUGAUGCUAUGCUCUCUGUUACUGGUCAAGCUUCCGGGUCGUUUAUGUCCUCUAUUAAUGCUGCUUCUCGUGUUCCGAACCUUGACUCUGCAGGAGGUCCGGCGAAACAGCCAGCAUCAGCACUAUACAUGCCCCCUCAUCAUCCUUCCUACCAGCCGGCCCACCAGUAUCAGCCGGUCGCUCCAUAUGCGCCUGCUCCUCCGGUCGCUCAGUAUGCGCCUGCUCCUCAGUACCCUCCACCGGCUCCAUACAUGUCUCCAUACCACCAGUCGGCUCCUUACAUGCCCCAUCAGUACCCUCCACCAGCUCCAUACCCGCAGCAGUUUGUACCAGUGCCGUAUAUGCAGCCCUACAUGCCUCCUCCACAGCAGCAACAGCGCCCUCAACGUCCUCACCAACAGCAGCAGCAGCAGCAGCGCCCACGUCAGGACCGUCGUCCAAAAGGAGGGCGCAAGGAUCGUCGUGCCACACCAUGGCAGGAAGGUAUCUUCUGCCAAAUUUGCAAAAAGGAAGGUCAUCCGGCUGAUGAGUGCUGGUGGCGCUAUGGUGAUGAUGAUGAUACUGACAAGCCACCAAAGGAGACCAAAGGUGCCUAUGGUGUUGAUAGAAACUGGUAUAUAGACACAGGUGCAACCAAUCAUGUUAAUGGUCAGCUCAACAAGCUCCAUGUUCAUGAACCAUAUCAGGGGCAUGAUCAAGUUAAUACUGCUAGUGGACAAGGUAUGGAUAUUGCACAUAUUGGUCAUUCUAUUUUGCACACCCCUGAUAGCUCUAUCCAACUUCGCAAUAUUUUACAUCUUCCUGGUGCAUCUAUGAAUUUACUCUCUGCUCAUAAACUUGGUCUAGACAACAAUUACUAUCUGGAAAUUCACCCUUUUUUCUUCUUGAUUAAGGAUCAGGCAACGAAGCGCACCGUGUUUAGAGGUCCCUGUCAUGGAGGCUUGUAUCCACUCGUUCCCGUGUCUUCGGAUUCCUCCAAGCAUGCUCUUGCCACUAUCCAGCCUUCAUCCUCUACAUGGCAUCGUCGUCUAGGCCAUCCAUCUUCGUUUAUUGUUCAGAAAAUUCUUAGGAAGCAUAAACUUUUAUAUUCCCCAGAAAUAAAUCCUUACAUAUGUGAUCCAUGCCAACAGGCCAAGAGUCAUCAGCUACCCUACCCUGUAUCCACUAGUGUGUCUACAGUUCCUUUGGAACAAAUAUUUUCUGAUGUAUGGGGUCCAGCUCCUCUCUCUGUAAGCAAACAUGCAUACUAUGUAAGCUUCAUUGAUGAUUUUAGCAAGUUUACCUGGAUUUAUUUACUUAAGAAACGCUCUGAAGUGUAUCAAGUUUUUCUUGAUUUUCAACAGUAUGUUGAGUGCCAAUUUGGUCGAAAAUUCUCACCAUGCAAACCGACUGGGGUGGUGAAUAUGAAAAAUUGAACAGUUUCUUUCAACGUAUAGGCAUUGUUCAUCAUGUGUCAUGUCCCCAUGCUCAUCAACAAAACGGUUCUGCUGAACGCAAACACCGUCACAUUGUUGAAGUAGGCCUUGCUCUACUUGCCAACGCUUCUAUGCCUCUCAAGUUUUGGGAUGAUGCCUUCAUCACAGCUACCUUUCUUAUAAACAUGCUUCCUACCAAAGUCCUCAAUUUUGACACUCCCAGUGAAAAACUUCUCCAAAUCACACCCAAUUAUGAGCCUCUCCGUAUCUUUGGUUGUGCUUGCUGGCCCAACCUUCGUCCAUAUAACAAACAUAAACUCUCUUUCCGAUCCAAACGGUGUGUUUUUCUUGGAUAUAGUCCUCGUCACAAAGGUGUUAAAUGCCUUGAUGUGACCACUGGUCGUGUUUAUGUUUCUCGAGAUGUUGUCUUUGAUGAGAAUGUUUUCCCAUUUGCUUCUCUUAAUCCUAAUGCUGGUCGACGUCUCCGUGAAGAAAUUCUUCUUCUUCCACAAGAUAACUCAUCUUCGGCAUGUAUGGAUAGGGGUGUGCAUACUAAUGAUCAUUAUUUGCGUCUUGUUCCUGAUGUUAAUCCUCCUCAGGUUGCUGUCAACGAAACCCCGGUUGUUUCAGCUCAAGCAUCUGGUCAAAAUUCUGAGGAAAAUGCAUCACAUAGCACAUCAAAUAACGCUACACAGCAGGAGAACAGGACAACAUGCGUAACAGGAGAUAUGAGCAAUCCCAAGGCUGAUUUUGGUUCAGAUUCUCCUCUGGGAUCCGUGCAGGCACACUGCAGCAACAGCACUCCCCUCGUCAGUACGUCAGGCGCGCAAUCCCAGGAGGAUCUCGGCGCGUUGCAUGCGCCAGCAGCCGACAGCCCCAUCAGCGUGGGGCCCUCCAGCCGCGCCACCACGGCCCGGUGCGGCUCACCGAGCGCCACGCGCGCGAUAGAUGGGACGGUGGCCGACCAGACGACAGGGGCAGGACCCAGCCUGAACGCCUCGCCCCGCGCGACCGAGCGGGUGGCCAACGAGGGCGCUGGAGCACCGAUCGCGAGGGAGAUCUCCUCGGAUCUGGAGCGAUGGGGUGCAGCGGAUCUGGCUGGAUCUUCUGUGAAUAGGGAUUCUGCUGACUCUUCAGGAUCUUUUGUGCCUUCCACUCCUGCACCACCUCCUGUUGUUGGAGUUCAAACUAGGCUGCAAAAAGGUAUUCGAAAACCGAAACUAUAUACCAAUGGUACUGUUAGGUAUGCCCUUCUAACAGCUACAGGAGAACCCAAGAAUCUUUCUGAGGCUCUUACUGAUCCAAACUGGAAACAUGCUAUGCAAGAUGAAUAUGAUGCUCUUGUUGCUAACAAAACCUGGCAUUUAGUGCCUCCCAGUUCCACUAAAAAUAUCAUUGAUUGCAAAUGGGUUUAUCGCAUCAAGAAACAUGCUGAUGGCACUGUGGACAGGUACAAAGCACGUCUUGUUGCAAAAGGAUUCAAACAGAGAUAUGGUAUUGACUACGAGGAUACUUUCAGUCCUGUUGUUAAGGCUGCCACUAUCAGGAUUGUUCUUGCAAUAUCAGUUUCUCGAGGCUGGAGUUUAAGGCAGCUAGAUGUGAAGAACGCAUUUUUACAUGGUGUUCUGGAAGCGGAGGUUUACAUGAAACAACCACCAGGUUUUCAGUCUUCCGCUAAUCCAAAUUAUAUUUGCAGACUUGAUAAAGCAUUAUAUGGUCUGAAACAGGCUCCUCGAGCUUGGUACUCUCGCCUGAGUUCCAAGUUACACACUGGGUUUUCUUCCAUCCAAAGCUGAUACUUCAUUGUUCCUUUUUGAUAAGCCAGGACUCACUAUAUUCCUCUUAAUUUAUGUUGAUGACAUCAUUGUUGCAAGCUCCUCUGAUUCGGCUAUAUCAGCUCUCCUUCAUCACUUAAGUUCGGAUUUUGCUCUCAAGGAUCUUGGCGAUCUUCAUUAUUUUCUAGGUAUUGAGGUUCACAAACAGUCCAAUGGGCUGCUUUUAAGUCAGGAAAAAUAUGCUACAGACUUACUGGCUCGUGUUGGUAUGCGUUCUUGCACGCCAUGUCCAACACCCCUCUCCACUACAGAAACAUUACGCUUGACAGAUGGAUCUCCUCUUGGAUCUGAGGAUGUUACACAUUAUAGAAGCAUUGUUGGGGGACUCCAGUAUCUGACACUGACUCGCCCUGAUCUUUCUUUUUCAGUUAAUAAGGUCUGUCAGUUUCUUCAUGCUCCUACUACUGCACAUUGGACUGCUGUUAAACGCAUUUUGAGGUAUAUUCAGGGCACAAGUAAGGUUGGUCUUACUUUCCAACGGUCCAGCUCCACCCUUCUCAGUGCCUAUUCCGAUGCAGAUUGGGCAGGUGAUCUGGAUGAUAGACGCUCUACUGGUGGAUUUGCUAUAUUUUUUGGGCCCAAUCUUGUUUCUUGGAGUGCCAGAAAACAGCCUACUGUGUCCAGGUCAAGUACAGAGGCUGAAUAUAAAGCUCUUGCAAAUGCCACUGCUGAGCUUAUUUGGGUUGAAGCACUAGUUCGUGAACUUGGUGUUUCCCUUCAGGUGAAACCAUGCUUAUGGUGUGAUAAUGUUGGUGCUACCUACCUGUCUGCCAAUCCAGUUUUUCAUGCCCGUACAAAACACAUUGAGAUAGACUUCUGCUUUGUUCGCGAACGGGUUGCUCGCAAGCAACUUGAUGUCAGGUCCAUAUCAAGCAAGGAUCAGAUUGCAGAUGGUUUCACAAAAACAUUAUGUGUAAAAAAAUUAGAUGAGUUUAAACGUAAUCUAAACCUCUCCCAGGUCUAGAUUAAGGGGGGGUAUUAGAGCUAUUGUACUAUAUGUAUUGGGUAUAGAGUAGUACUCUACCCCAAUACGUAUCCUCUUUGUAUACGCCACCACGGGGGCUCUUCCCGUAUAUAUAAACACGUAACCGGCUACCCCAGAGGGUACGUCCGUUCAACCCAAAAUCAACACAGUUGCCCUGUCAAAAUUUCAAAUUUUAACACUCAUGGCACCUUCUAAUUCAGCCUAAUCAAUUAAGGAGGUAGACAUUGCUCUGUUUCUUAGUUUUGGCAGAUCUGCACCUGGCAUUUGUUUGUCUCUUGUUAUGCAAGCUCGUUUUCCGCUUCUGUGAGCAUGUACAGUGUGUUGCUUCUCUGUGUUGGAACCAAAAGGAGCAAUUUACUAAAAUCACGCAUAUGCAAGAUCCCUCUAUAUCACCACCAUCACUUUGCAUUUUUGCAAAUUUUCUUUUUCUUGAAACAAGCCAAAAGAUUGUCAUUUUCAUUGAUUAAGAAGAGAGUGAGAAUUGCUCGGUUAUUUGGCGGAAAACCGAGCUAAACCGAUACAACCCAACCCACAUAACAUGGGCACCACCGGCCAACCUGGCCACCUACAUGGGACUCUGAGCUACAAAGAAGAAAAGACAUCCGCCGAGGAGUCGCAAGUGUCAUCAUCAUCACCGGCUACUUCCGAACAAGCGACUCCGACUUCACCAUAGAACUCUGUUAGCGAAGCCAAACCGCAAGCACCUCAUCAAGAGCCACGACGGCACAUGCCAAGAGAUGGCCACACACACGAACAACCGAUAACUCCGACUUUGAUGGCGAGCUUCGCAAGGGAAAUAUGCAAGACUAGCACCGAUCAUGCCCUUCGCAAACGACCACCGAGUGCCUGUCAUCUUCACCACCUAGACUCGCUCCACCACAACUCCGAUUUCAAAGCAACCAGACAAGUAUAAUCUUGUGUGUGGGCACAUCUUCAAUUCCCGAUGCCUCACAAGCCACAUCCAUGAAAUGCAAACAGAUCAUAUAUAUUGAAGAUUUGUAUGAAGCCGACAUUCAUGUGUCGAGUAUCGCGUAUUACUACUUUGCUUCACCACUACAUACUCGUAGAUAGUGACACUAAUCGGCCCAUUGAGAUAUCGAUGAUAUAGGAUUAUCUGGUUUGUAUUCCAAACUCUCUCGGUCUGGGUACAUAUAUGGAGCUAUCACCAUGAAUGAAUAAUUACUAACUCACUAGUAGUACCAUAUAGUAGUUGAGAGUAAUUGAGAUGCAUGAUAGGAUGGUCCUUGCCUAACGUUGCAUCUUAAAGUCCACAAGCCUCUGAGCCUAUACAAGGUUUUGUUUUCUUUUUCUUGUGGAUAUCUCUGUAAAUGGAAAAGUGAGUUCAAGACUUGAUCAACUAUAAAAUUAGUAUAAUUUUAAGCCGUUAUGUGCCAACUCAUGACAUUGAGAAUUUACAUGCUACUUGUCUAUGUCAAAUUAGUAGCUGGCUUGGUCGUAUUAUGUAUUCCUUUUAUGUCACUGCACAGAAAGGUAAAAAGUGAACACGUACAAUGCAUGUUACCAAUCCAUUUAAAGAGCAUCGAAGGCUGGGAGCUAUUUCAUAGUUUCUUGGAUUUUCGUUACAAAGCAUUAUAGGUGUAAUAUUUGUGAAUAUGAAUAAAGUCGCGGGUAUCUCUCUAGAAAAAGCAGUCGAUUCCAUCUCUCGUAUGUGACAAUUUGCAUGCUUCUCCUACUUGCUUUGCCAACUCGGUAACUCCCCAGAUGACAGGUCUCUCGUACCCAAAUUCAAGGUAGUAAAGACUGCAUCGCAAUAUAUCCUCCCUCUUCUUGCAUUUUAGACUCCGUCAAAAGUUGAGGGAUAAAAAGUAUAUUGUUCUCUUUCAGAUAGUGUAUGUUAUCUAUUAAAUAUUUUUUGAUGAAUAACAUAUGUCAUGUCUUAAAUUUCAAAAAUAAUUUUCGGAAGGACUUAGCUUUUCCAGGAUCCCGUGGGGCAUCAAAUUAUCUGGCAAGUCUCUUCUUACUAGUGUUGUACAAUUUUAUUUCUUCACCCGGCAUGCUUUAGUGGUAAAAGAAUUAUAGCAACAUAGCGUGAGGUCCAUAGCUGUACAACAACUGGUGAUCAAUUUUGUUUUGAGAAACAUCAUUCCAUAGUGUAUAUCAAGCAAAGUUUAGGGAAAAUCACUUAGAAAAAUAUAUAAGGCAAAUGCAUCGUCCCAUAACCUAGAUCUAUGAAAGAUUAGAGAAAAGGCUAUUAGAUAACUAGGGCAAAUAUAGUAUUACGGUACUAUGUACUACUACCUCCGUCCUGAUUUAUUAGUCCCCCUCGUAUUUAGGGUCAUACUUUGACCAUGAUUUUAACUAUAGAAAAGUAUACUUUUCGUCCCUCAAUUUUUGACGGAGUCUAGAUUUGGUCCCUCAUCUUCUAAACCGGACAACUUGCACCCCAACUACUGAAACCAGACAAGAUUCAUCCCUGGUCUCGGUUUUGAGCGGUUUUUGUGCUGGCUCACCCCGGUUUUGACCCGUGCUGACUUACAUAUGUGUAUAUCUUUCAAAUCUGUGAAUCUUUCCAAAUCUCUGUACUUUUUCACGUUUGCGUAAAAAUUUCAAAUUCACAUACCUUUUUGAAAUCCGCACUAUUUUCAAAUCCACGUACUUCUUCAAGUUCACAUAAUUUUCCAAAUUCGCAUACUUUUUUCUAGUUCAUGUAUUUUUCUCAAAUCCGCGUACUCUUUUCAUGUUCGUGUACUGCUUUCAAAUCCGUGUACUUUAUCAAAUUCAUGAACUUUUAUAGAAAGUACGCGGAUUUGAAAAAAAAAAGCACUUGAACUUGAAAAUGGUAUGCAGACCUGAAUAAAAUAAACGGAUUUGAAGAAAGUACGCGAAUUUGAGUCAAAACACGCUCAAAACUGGCAAAAGUCAGCACCAAAACCGGUCAAAACCGUGUCCAGGGACAAACCUUGUCCGGUUUUAGUAGUUCGGGGUGCAAGUUGUCCGGUUUCAGAGUUGAGGGACCAAAUAUAGACUCUGCCAAGAGUUGAGGGACGAAAAAUAUACUUUUCUACACAAUAUCAACACUGCUGAAUCGCUAUUGCGAGAAUGUCGGUGGCAUAUGAGCACCCAAGGCUUCAACUUUUUUGUGCAAAACAACUCACACGCUUCCACCUAGCCUUUCAGUCUAAUCCAACCACUCGUCAAUGGUCACUGGCUAUCGGCCAUGUGUGACCUGAAUGUACGUGCUCCAUCCACCUCUGACUGAUGGGCUUCUUUCUCGAAUACGCACGAGUGUGCGUAUCAUUCAUUAUAGAAGAAGAGGGGGUGGGGAGCCCCAAACCACCAGUACAACAUUUAGCUUAUUUACAAGCGGAUUUCAUCCGCCCUACCCGGUACUCACAAAAGGCAAAGCUACUCGUGCCCUAUCCACUCUACCCUAGCUGGCUCUUGCCCUAGGACCUCGCCGUUAAUCAGGCCUGCCUUUGUCUAGAUAGCACCCUCCGACUGAAUCUUCUGCAGCACACCUGACAGAGAUGGUGUGUGUUCCUCAAACACAAUGUCAUUCCUAUGCUUCCACAACGUCCACAUCACCAACAAGCACAGAGCCCGAUUAGACUUCCGAUGCUCCAUAGUCUCCUCCUGUCUCAUGCACCAUUCGCCUAGAUCCUCGUCUGGCAGGGGGAGAUACUCCAUCCUUCCAGCCAAAGAGGUGCACCACUGCCAAACUUGCCUCGCAAAAACGCAGCCGAUGAGAAGAUGUUGCAUGGUCUCGUCUUGUUGGUUGCAGAAAGGGCAAGUGGCUUGGUGUGGUAGCCCUCGGCGUGCAAGCCUAUCCGAGGUCCAACACCGGUUCCUGAGAGCCAGCCAGGUGAAGAAGCGACAUCUUAAUGGGGCCUUUGACUUCCAAGUGAACGGCGCCGUCGGAGAUCGCUCUUCUGACCCGUCAACGUUAACCUAGGAGCAUGACCGCUUGUCUGUCGCGACUAAUGACAUGCAAACAACCCUUGAUCAAUGAUAUACACCACUGACGUGCUAGUCACAACUAGUAAAUAGUGAAUUGUCAUGUAUACAUUUUUUGUAGUGGUAUGAUAUAUCCUCGCUCGGACCAGAGGAGAUCAAAGAAAUAGCUUCGGAUGGAGGCCACAACGAUGAGCUACUCUCAUUGGUCUUGUUUGAUGCCAUGCAUCGCUUAAAAAUAGUAAUUCUUUGUCUGACAAAAGACUAAGAAUGUAUUCUAAUAAAUCUGAAAAUAAAGGUAGUAUCAGUUGCCAAGCUGCAGAAAUACAUCAUUUGGUCGGCAUUAUACCCUCAAAAUUCAAUUUAUCUCUAUUUUUUAAUAUAAAACCAUCAAAGCACUUGGCCAUGUUAACAACGAAGCACCUGGUGCAAGGAUUAAUGACUUCCAAACAUGGUGUAAAUCUACGAAGAGCUCAGUUAGUAUUGUGGAUCAGUUUCCCUGUCAAACUUUCAAAUUUUAAGUUUUAAUACUCCUCGCACUUUUCAAUUCAGCCUAAACAUAAGCAGGUAAACAUUGCUCUGGUUUCUUAGUGUUGGCAGAUCUGCACCUGGCAUUUGUUAAUGUCUCUAGUGUUGCAAGCUCAUUUUCCGCUUCUGCUUCUCAGAGUUGGAACCAUAAGGAGCAAUCGACAGCUGAUCUAGAUGUCCAACACGAAAAAAAUUACGCAUAUGCAUAAUCCCUCGGUAUAACCACCGUCAAUCUGCAUUUGGCAAGUUUGGUCAUGUGUGCUGGCACAUCUUGAAUUCCCGCUGCCUCACAAGCCACACCCAUGAAAUGCAAAGAGAUCAUAUACAGUGAAGAUUUGUAUGUAGCAGACAUUCAUGCGUGGAGUAUCACGUACUACUAGUGUGCUCCACCUCUACACAGUCAUAGCUAGUGACACUAAUCGACCCGUUGAGAUAUCGAUGACAUAUGGUUAUCCGGUUUGGAUUCCAAACUCUCUCGAUCUGGCUACAUAUAUGGAGCUAUCACCAUGAAUGCAAUAAUUACUAUCUCGCUAGUAGUACCAUAUAGUGGUUGAGAGCAAUUGUGUGCUGAAGUCCAGAAGCCUCUAAAGCCUAUAACAAGGUUUUGUUUUGUUUUUCUUGUGGAUAUCUCUAUAAAUGGAAAAGUGAGUUGAAGACUUCAUCAACUGCAAAAUUCAAGUGUAAUUUUUAGCCGUUAUGUGCCAACUCAUGGACGAGACUUGCCUGCUCCCCGCGCGUGCGCCCAUCCGUACUCCCGCGUACGUGGCUUGAUUUGAUUGGAGCAAAAUAAGGCCUGGCCUAACCUCCUUAAAAUCAGGGAGGGAGAUGAUUAGAUUAGAAAGGAAAAAGGAAAAAAGACAGCCAUAGGAUGAAAUGGGAGCACGGAUGAGAGCAUGGGAGGGAGCAGGCAAGCCGGAUCCCCAACUCAUGACAUUGAAAAUUUACAUGCUGCUUGCCUAGGUCAAAUUAGUAGGGGGCUUGGUCGUAUUAUGUAUUCAUUUACAUCACUACACAGGAUGGUAAAAAAUGAACAUGCACAAUGCAUGUUAACAAACCAUUUAAAGGGCAUUGAAGGCUGGAACUAUGUCAAGUAGAGCUCCGGUUCUAAGAUGAACAUGAUCCAAUCCACCGGGACGAUGCACCUGCCCGACAAAAAGAACAGAACAAACGAAGAUCGCGGGAGACUCAUGAUGAUCAGCAUUACAUGUUAGUAGAGACUUGUAAACAGCAAUGCAAGUGCUCGAAACUUGACCACGGCUAACUACAUAAAUUUAUGGGGCAGACUAUUACAGAUUCGCCUGAAAAAAAAAGGUUUCAGUCAAAUUGCUCUCCACCGCUGGAUCAUCCUCUAUCUUCUUCGCCAUCCUCAGCCUCUCCUUGAAGGUCCUGUCCGACGCCCUGAGCUUCAACCUCAUCUUCAUGUACGCCAGCCACAGCAAACUUCAACAGUAGCUACAACAUGCUCUGUCGCAAGGGUUUGAUCUCUAUAGCUUCCAGAGGAAGUGCCUAUGCGUUGCCGCCAUUUGACAUACACUCUUCAGUACAACACGCUUUUGUUUCAAGGGGAAAAUGAAUGAGAAUAAUUGAAAGAUGAACAUUGGCUUCAGCCAGUGGUUGAAAACGUUCUCUGACUAAAAGGGAGCGAAGAAAAACAAAGCCAGCAUUCACUGUUCCUCCGACAAUCAUCAGGCAUUACAAAUAUUCAGCCAGAAACAAAGUACUAUACUAAAUCCAAUGGAAAGGUAUGGGCCCACAUUAGUGCAAACAUUAGGAUCUCAAGUGCGGAGAAUUCAUUUCUUUAGAACUUGGAUAACAGGUACAAAAAUGCAUAUUCUGACAACAUAUUCUGAUCUCUCAUUCAAGCAAACGAAAACCAAGCACAGAUGCUGUCACGGCAUGGAGUUGGCAGCUACCCAAACAACACAUGAAUCAC
rnacentral:lncRNA from 1 species